rnacentral:lncRNA from 1 species
UUUUCUUUUUUUUUCUUUUGCCUUUCUUAUUUUUUUUCUUUUUGGCCUUUCUCUUUUUUUUCUCUUUUUUUUGUAAAGUCCGAAGUCUCAUCCCGACUUGUGGGGGAAUCAUAGUCUUCAUCAUCCUUUCCUCACUGAGGCAAUGCUCUAAUAAUGAAGAUCAUCACACUUUUAUUGAUUUACAACUCAAGAAUUACAACUCAAAGCUAGAACAAGAUAUGACUCUAUAUGAAUGCCUCCGGCGGUGUACCGGGAUAUGCAAUGAAUCAAGAGCGACAUGUAUGAAAAUUAUGAAGGUGGACUUGCCACAAAUACGAUGUGAACUACAUGAUCAUGCAAAGAGCAAUAUGACAAUGAUGGAACGUGUCAUGAUAAACGGAACGGUGGAAAGUUGCAUGGCAAUAUAUCUCGGAAUGGCUAUGGAAAUGCCAUAAUAGGUAGGUAUGGUGGCUGUUUUGAGGAAGGUAAAUAAAGGGUUUAUGAUACCAGCGAAAGUUGCGCGGUAUAAAAGAGGCUAGCAAAGUGGAAGGAUGCGUGUGCGUAUAUCCAUGGACUCACAUUAGUCAUAAAGAACUCAUAUACUUAUUGCAAAAGUCUACUUAGCCCUCGAAGCAAAGUACUACUACGCAUGCCCCAAGAGGGAUAGAUUGGUAGGAAAAGACCAUCGCUCGUCCCCGACUGCCACUCAUAAGGAAGACAAUCAAAAGAGCACCUCAUGCAACAAAUUUGUCACACAACUUUUACCAUACGUGCAUGCUACGGGACUUGCCAACUUCAACAAAGUAUUUUUCAAUUUCAUAAUUACCCACUAGCAUGACCCUAACAUUACUACCUUUAUAUCUCAAAACAAUCAUCAAGCAACAAAUUGAUCAUAGCAUCCAAUUCACUUCCUAUGAUAGUUUUUAUUAUACCCAACUUGGAUGCUCAUCAUUCUAGGACCAAAUUUGUAACCAUAGCAAAUACCAUGCUGUUAUAAAAGACUCUCAAAAUAAUAUAAGUGAAGCAUGAGAUCCUAGCAAUUUCUUCAAAAAUAAGCCACCGCCGUGCUCUAAAAGAUAUAAGUGAAGUACUAGAGCAAAAACUAUCAAGCUCAAAAGAUAUAAGUGAAGCACAUAAAGUAUUAUAGCAAAUUCUAAUCAAGUGGGCUUCUCCCAAAAGGUGUGUACAGCAAGGAUGAUUGUGGUAAACUAAAAAGCAAAGACUAAUAUAAUACACGACGCUCCAAGCAAAACACAUAUCAUGUGGCAAAUAAAAAUAUAGCUCCAAGUAAAGUUACCAAUGAACGAAGACGAAAGAGGGGAUGCCUUCUCGGGGCAUCCCCAAGCUUAGGCUUUUGGCUAUCCUUGAAUAUCUUGGGGUGCCAUGGGCAUCCCCAAGCUUAGGCUCUUGCCACUCCUUAUUCCAUAGUCCAUAAAAGCUCUACCCAAAACUUGAAAACUUCACAACACAAAACUCAACAGGAAAUCUUAUAAGCUCCGUUAGUGAAAGAAAACAAAACCACCACAUAAGGUACUGUAAUGAACUCAUUCUUUAUUUAUUUUGGUGUUAAACCUACUGUAUUCCAACUUCUCUAUGGUUUAUAAACUAUUUUACUAGCCAUAGAUGCAUCAAAAUAAGCAAACAACACAUGAAAAAAAAUCUGUCAAAAACAGAACAGUCUGUAGCAAUCUGUAACUAACGCAAACUUCUGGAACACUAAAACUCCUAUGAAAAUAGGAAGUCCUGGAAAAUUUAUCUAUUGAUUAGCAGAAAAAAGAAUCAACGCAAAAGCACGUUUUUGUGAUUUAACAAAACUAAUUUCGUGCGCGCAAAGUUUCUGUUUUUCAGCAGAAUCAAAUCAACUAUCAUCAUAGGUUAUCCUAUAGGUUCUACUUGGCACAAACACUAAUUAAAAGAUAAAAACACAUCUAAACAGAAGGUAGAUGCAAAAUUUAUUACUAAACAGGAACAAAAACAAAAAACACAAAGAAAAUUGAGUUUCCUCCCAACUAGCGCUAUCGUUUAACGCCCCUAGCUAGGCAUAAAAGCGAAGAUAGAUCUAAGUAGUGCCAUAAUAAUAAGAUAGAUCUUGAAAACUCAUCUCAUAUUCCCUACGUUCGGCAGCAAGUUUUCUUUGAGGCGAGAAAAAGUAAUCAAAAGGGCUAAAUUUAGCGGGACAAAAGUCCCCAAGAUCAAUCUCAGGAGGAACGGGUUCCUCCCUUGGCCCUUCAUAAUGCACAACAAAUUCAUCACUAAAAGCAUUCUUUUGGCAUAAUCUCGUGAGCCUAUAGUCAAGAGAGUAUCCUAGCUCAUUAUUUCGAAGAGAGAAAUCGUUAUUAAGUUCGGAAAUUCUAUCAACCAAGACAUUGGUAGGAACCUUUUUUCUAAGGUUUUCAAUGAAAGCAACAUAGUCCGAAGAUUGAAAACGCCUAAAUUCUUCUUGAUCAUAGAGGAUCGCCUCUAUGGGAGGACGACUGGCGUCCACCCUAUAGUGCGCAAAUAUUUCUUUGGCCUCUCUUAUGAUAAAUCUAAACUCAUUAGCCAAAAAGAUAGUAACAGCGCGCUUAACAGAAGAAUGCUCAAUAUUAGAAAAUUCUAGGAAAAUUCUUUGUAUGCAAGGAUGCAUAUGCAUAAAUUGUCUUUCAAGUUCAACUACAAGCAUAGCGAUAACAUCCGCAAGACUACUAGUUCUAUGAAGAAUAGAACCACCCAUGGAAGGUAAAGCACCGACACAAGUAAAGAAAUCUUGCAUAACACCUUUUCCAAUGAUGUUACCACUACCGAUUCGAAACUUUUUAGUAUGCAAGAUAGGGGGUUCUUCGGCUGGAGCCUCAGAAUUUUCCAUAUUAUCAUUAUUGUCCAUAUCGAUGAUAAUCUCCCCAAUUUCAUACAUAACGGCAAACAAAAGCAAGGAGGAAGAAAGCGAGCAAAAGAGAGAGGAGGAGAUUGGGAAAGAGAGGGCGAAUAAAACGGCAAGGGUGAAGUGGGGGAGAGGAAAACGAGAGGCAAAUGGCAAAUAAUGUAAAUGCGAGGGAGAUGAGUUUGUGAUGGGUACUUGGUAUGUCUUGACUUGAGCGAAGACCUCCCCGGCAACGGCGCCAUAAAUCCUUCUUGCUACAUCUUGAGCUUGCGUUGGUUUCCUUGAAGAGGAAAGGAUGAUGCAGCAAUAGUAGCGUAAGUAUUUCCCUCAGUUUUUGAGAACCAAGGUAUCAAUCCAGUAGGAGGCUCCUCAAAAGUCCCACGCACCUACACAAACAAACAAAGAACUCGCAACCAACGCAAUAAAGGGGUUGUCAAUCCCUUCACGGCCACUUGCGAAAGUGAGAUCUGAUAGAGAUAAUAUGAUAAGAUAAAUACAUUUUUGGUAUUUUAUAAUAUAGAUGCAAAAAGUAAAGAUGCAAAUAAAAGUAUAUUGAAAGCUUAUAUGAUAAAAGAUAGACCCGGGGGCCAUAAGUUUCACUAGAGGCUUCUCUCAAGAUAGCAUAAGUAUUACGGUGGGUGAACAAAUUACUAUCGAGCAAUUGAUAGAAAAGCGAAUUAUUAUGAGAUUAUCUAGGCAUGAUCAUGUAUAUAGGCAUCACGUCCGUAACAAGUAGACCGACUCCUGCCUGCAUCUACUACUAUUACUCCACACAUAGACCGCCUCCUGCCUGCAUCUACAGUAUUAAGUUCAUAAAGAACAGAGUAACACAUUAAGCAAGAUGACAUGAUGUAGAGGGAUAAACUCAUGCAAUAUGAUAUAAACCCCAUCUUUUUGUCCUUGAUGGCAACAAUACAAUACGUGCCUUCCAACCCUUUCUGUCACUGGGUAAGGACACCGCAAGAUUGAACCCAAAGCUAAGCACUUCUCCCAUUGCAAGAAAGAUCAAUCUAGUAGGCCAAACCAAACUAAUAAUUCGAAGAGACUUGCAAAGAUAACUCAAUCAUACAUAAAAGAAUUCAGAGCAGAUUCAAAUAUUUCUCAUAGAUAAACUUGAUCAUAAACCCACAAUUCAUCGGAUCUCGACAAACACACCGCAAAAAGAGUUUACAUCGAAUAGAUCUCCACAAGAGAGGGGGAGAACAUUGUAUUGGGAUCCACAAAGUGAGAAGAAGCCAUCUAGCUAAUAACUAUGGACCCGAAGGUCUGUGGUAAACUACUCACAACUCAUCGGAGGGGCUAUGGUGUUGAUGUAGAAGACCUCCAUGGUCGAUUCCCAUUUCAGCGGAGCGCCGGCGAAGGCUCCAAGAUGGGAUCUCGCGGAUACAGAAGGUUACGGCGGUGGAAAUUGUGUUUCGUUGGCUCCUUGGAUGUUUUCGGGGUACAUAGGCUUAUAUAGGAGGAAGAAGUACGUUGGUGGCUGCCCGAGGGGCCCACGAGAUAGGGGCGCGCCCAGAGGGGGUGGGCGCGCCCUCCUGUCUCGUGGCCGCCUCGGCUGCUUCUUGACUUGCACUCCAAGUCCUCUGGAUCACGUUCGUUCCAAAAAUCACGCUCCCGAAGGUUUCAUUCCAUUUGGACUCCGUUUGAUAUUCCUUUUCUUCGAAAUACUAAAAUAGGCAAAAAAACAGCAAUACGGGCUGGGCCUCCGGUUAGUAGGUUAGUCCCAAAAAUGAUAUAAAUGUGUAAAAUAAAGACCAUAAACAUCCAAAAGGGGUAAUAUAAUAGCAUGGAACAAUCAAAAAUUAUAGAUACGUUGGAGACGUAUCACAUGUCUCAUGAUUUUAUUUUUUCUUAAUUUCAUAGACGACCCCAUGAUAAAGAAUUGCCUAGUAAAGAUGAAAUAAUUAGUCUUGCUUCUAUUGCUGUGCCUCCUAAUGAUCCUUUAGAACAAUAUUUGCUAGACCAUGAAAAUGAUAUGUUUAUGAAUGAAAGAAGGGAAAUAGAUGAAGUAUUCUUUAAACAGGGACCCAUUUUGAAACACAACUUGCCUGUUGAAAUCCUAGGGUAUCCCCCUCCAACCAAGGGUGAUCCCAUGUUUGAGCUUAAACCAUUACCUGAUACUCUUAAAUAUGCUUAUCUUGAUGAAAAGAAGAUAUAUCAUGUUAUUAUUAGUGCUAACCUUUCAUAGAAGGGAGAAGAGAAAUUAUUGAAAACUCUGAAGAAGCACCACACUGUUAUUGAAUAUACUCUUGAUGAUCUUAAGGGCGUCAUCCCCACUCUAUGCCAGCACAAAAUAAAAUUGGAGAAAGACGCUAAACCAGUUGUUGAUCACCAACGACAGUUAAAUCCUAAGAUGGAAGAAGUGGUAAGAAAUGAAAUACUGAAGCUUCUGGAGGCAGGUAUAAUUUAUCCUGUUGCUGAUAGUCAGUGGGUAAGUCCUAUCCAUUGUGUCCCUAAAGAAGGGAGGUAUUACUGUUGUUCCUAAUGAUAAAGAUGAAUUGAUCCCACAAAGGAUUGUUACAGGUCAUAGAAUGGUCAUUGAUUUCCGCAAAUUAAAUAAAGCUACAAGAAAAGAACAUUACCUUUACCUUUUAUUGAUCAAAUGCUAGAAAGAUUAUCCAAACAUACACAUUUUGCUUUCUAGAUGGUUAUUCUGGUUUCUCUCAAAUACCUGUGUCAAAAGAGGAUCAGGAUAAGACCACUUUUACUUGCCCUUUUGGUACCUUUGCUUAUAGAUGCAUGCCUUUUGGUUUAUGUAAUGCACCUGCUACCUUUCAAAGAUUUAUGACUGCUAUAUUCGUCGACUUUUCUGAAAAGAUUGUUAAGGUUUUCAUGGAUGAUUUCUCCGUGUAUGGAACUUCUUUUGAUGAUUGCUUAAGCAGCCUUGAUCGAGUCCUGCAGAGAUGUGAAGAAACUAAUCUUGUCUUGAAUUGGGAGAAGUGCCACUUUAUGGUUAAUGAAGGUAUUGUCUUGGGGCAUAAGAUUUCUGAAAGAGGUAUUGAAGGUUAUAAAGCUAAAGUUGAUGCUAUUGAAAAGAUGUCGUGUCCUAAGGACAUCAAAGGUAUAAGAAGUUCCCUUGGUAUUGCCGGUUUUUAUAGGAGGUUCAUUAAAGAAUUCUCAAAAAUUUCUAGUCCUCUGACUAAUCUAUUACAAAAAAAAAUGUUCCUUUUGUCUUUGAUGAUGAUUGCGUAGAAGCAUUUGAAAUACUUAAGAAGCCUUGAUUUCUGCACCUAUUUUUCAGCCUACUGAUUGGAAUUUACCCUUUGAAAUCAUGUGGGAGGCUAGUGAUUAUGUUGUAGAUGCUGUUCUAGGACAAAGAGUUGAUAAGAAAUUAAAUGUUAUCCAAUAUGCUAGUAAAACUUUAGACAGUGCCCAGAGAAAUUAUGCUACCACUGAAAAAGAAUUUUUAGCAGUUGUAUUUGCUUGUGAUAAGUUCAGACCUUAUGUUGUUGAUUGGGUUAAUUAUCCUUUUGCCCUCAGUGGUGUCCAUGUGCUCAGUUUUGCCCUCAGAUGCAAAUUGUCCUCAGUUUUGCCCCUAGUCCGAGCACAGCAACUACGACGAGGCCAAACGGCCAUAUUUGAGUCCAUUCCGUCCGCCGGCGUUAGUAGUUGUGGGUCCGGAGCUUACACGUGGGACCGCGUGGUUGUGGGUCCGGAGCUGACAUGUAGGCCCCUGCAACUAAAUCCCCAAAUCAUUCUAGCUCACACCCAUCCGCCCGGCCGGCUGUCCUGCGCCGCCGUCGCCGCCACCUGCGCCGCAGCCAGCACCUGCCGCGCCACCAGUUGCACGGCCUGCUCCGCCGCUACCUCCCUGUGCCUACGCUCCAUGGCUCAUUGUGACGCCCACCACCUUCCUGCGACGCCACGGGUGGGGCGCCCGCCACCUGCUCGAUUCGCGGCGCGGCCUCCUUCCGUGCGCCCGGCCGGAGCGCUCAAAGGUGGGGGGCUUCUGGAGCUAUUUGAACUAGGAGGAAGAACCCUAGGGAGAAAUGGUGAGCAGCGGCGACCCCGGAGUAUUUGGCGAGGCAGGCAUCGGGCCGGAGAUCCGCCGUGUCCACGACUGGGUUCCCGAGGGGUAAGUCUCGCAUCUUGUUUAGAUUGAGCUUAGUUGUGCAUUUGAACACUCGAUUCGAGUAGGUUUGCCCAAUUAGUGUGCUGAUUGCGUCUCUGUUUUUCGCCGGUUAGGAUGAGUUGCGGUUUGCUUUCAUGGUGCACAUUAGAAGGGACCGGUACAUGUUCGAUGCAAAGGAUAAGAAGAAAUACCAAGGAGGUUUUGAUUAUCGGUUGCCAAUGGCUAGUAAUUGGAGUUUCAGACAAUUUGGGGAGGUAAUUUGUAGCCAAUAUCCUUGGGGUUUGCUUGAUGAAGUGGUAUACAAAUACUAUGAUGGGGAAAAGAAUUGGGUGACAGUUAGUAAUGAUGAAGAGCUAGCUACCAUGUUUGUUAGCAUAAAGAGAAAGAUAAUUUUCAUGUGAGGCUGCAAGUUGAUGUGCUUGAGCACGCAUUUGGACCUAGGAUGGCGGUUGCAACAUCUCGGGGAGAAUCAAGUCGUCGUAAUGGCAUCUCUAGCCAGAAUAGUUCAGUUGGUGCACGGCGACAUGGUGGCUCGACAAGUGUGGGCAACAGCAGUAGGGUCCCCCUUGAAGUGGAGCCUGAUGGCUACAAUUCUGGGGUUGAUGAAGAGAAGUUAUAUUCUGAUGUUAUUCAGAAUUUACGACGGGCACCUCGGGCUGAAAACCAAGAUGAGGCUCACAAUGCAGUCCGUGUGGAUGAUGACGCGAUGGGUGAGGACGAAGACCUUGCAGCUGUUGAAUGGGACCCUUUGAACCCUCAAAUGGAAGAAGGUACAGUUUUUGCAUCCAUGAAUGAGUGUAGAAAUGCACUUGUGACAUACUGCAUCAAGGUAGAACGUACUUUCAAAGUUGACAAGAGCGAUCAAGUACGUUACAGAGUGCACUGUUCGACUGAGGGUUGUCCAUGGAGGCUGCUUGCAGCUAAAAUGCGGAAUAGCACUAAUGUUCAGGUCAAAGUGAAUCCUUUUAAGCACACAUGCCAGGAAUCAACCCUUAGGAAGGAUACAAUCAGUAGAGCCAAGUCAAGAUGGGUGGCAGAAGAAGUAAAAAAGUGGGUGAAAGAAAACCAGCAAGUGGGUCCAAAGGAAUUGUAGAAGAACAUCAAAGAUAAGUUCAAGAUAGAUUUACCAUACAUGAGGUUGUUCAAUGGUAAACAACAUGCUAUGGAUUCUAUUUAUGGUAACUGGCGGGAAAGUUUUUAAUUGUUGUAUUCAUUCAAAGGUGAAGUGGAGAGGACAAGCCCAGGUAGUAUUGUAGAUAUUGAUCACCACACCGAGGAGUACACAUUCAGGGGAGUGACAAAGACCAAGGAAUGCUUUAGAAGGGUUUUUGUCUGCUUUGAGGCUUGCCGCCGGGGUUUUUUGGCAGGCUGCAGGCCUUAUUUGGCUAUUGAUGCCACUUUUCUCACAGGAAGGUUUAAAGGACAGUUAGUAGCAGCUUGUGCAGUUGAUGCACAUAGUUUUGUAUUUCCAGUUGCCUAUGGUGUGCUGGAGACAGAGUCUGAGGAGAGCUGGACUUGGUUUUUGCAUAAUCUCCGCCGGGCUAUUGCACAUCCCAAUGGGUUGGUCAUUCAUACAGAUGCCUGCAAAGGUUUAGAAGUGGCCGUGGACAAUGUGUUCCCUGGAGUAGAGCAUAGGGAAUGCAUGCGUCACCUUGCUGCAAAUUUCAUGAAGAAAUUCAAAGGAAAGGUGUAUACCGACAAUUUAUGGCCAGCAUCUUUGACAUGCAGUGUCAAGAAGCACAACUACCACUUGAGGCAGUUAUAGAUGAAUCCCAAAGUGAAAGAAUACUUGGAAACACACCACUCCAAGUUAUGGGCCAGAAGCCAAUUCAGUGAAGUGAGCAAAGUUGACUAUGUGCACAAUAAUCUAGCAGAGUCUUUCAACUCAACGAUCCGGAAACUAAAGGGUCAUUAUGUGGUGGAUUUGCUUGACAGGAUAAGGAUAGAAUACAUGCAGAAAUUUCAUUAUCGUGCAGGAAUAGCCGAGGCAAAAUUCAUGGGCCACAUUAUCAUCCCUGGCGUGAUGAAUGAACUGAAGCAAAAGACAAUAGGCAUGGAAAUGAACAUGACGCUUUGCUCGGGUACCACAGCAGAGAUAUCAUAUUUGGAUAAAGAGAAGAGGGAAUGGAGAUAUCCAGUGGAUUUAGAAGCUAGAACUUGCAGUUGUAGGCAAUGGCAGAUAACUGGGUUGACAUGCAUUCAUGCCUUGUUUUUCAUCACUUCUCUCCCAGGUCCAGCAGGGAACAUACAACAGUAUGUGCAUGAUUACUACUCUGUUGCAAGGUUCAAAGCCACAUAUGCUUAUGCCUUGCCUGCUAUGGAGGGAAAACAACAAUGGGACAUGGUGGACCCUGGAUUCAAGCUUUGCGCUCCAGUUCUGAAGAGAGCAGCAGGUAGACCAAGGAAGAGUCGAAUAAGACCUCGCAGCGAAGGAGCUGGACUUGGAGCGAGGAAGCGUAAGUGCACAAGAUGUGGUGGGUCUGGUCAUUUCGGUAAGUAUUGUGAUAACACAGUAGAUCCAGCGUUCGGAGAGAGUUUCGAUGAAGGCUUCGAUGAAAAUGUUGGUCAGCAGCCGGUUGCCUCAACAGAUGAUGAAAAUGUUGGUCAACAGCCGGUUGCCUCAACAGAUGAUGAAAAUGAUGGUCAACAGCCGGUUGCAUCAGAUGAGGAUUUUGACGAGGUUCCAAAUGAUGAUGGUCAACAGCCGCAUGAUUUUGACGAUGAUCCAAAGUAUCCUCCAAAUAAUGAUUCAAGUGAGGCUCCAAAUGGUGAUCCAAGUGAGGCUCUAAAUGGUGAUCAUGGUGAUCCAAGUGAGGCUCCAAAUGAUGAUCCAAGUGAGGCUCCAAAUGGUGAUCCAAGUGAGGCUCUAAAUGGUGAUCAUGGUGAUCCAAGUGAGGCUCCAAAUGGUGACCAACCUUCUGUUGUUGUGAGUUCUGCUAGGUAUGUAAAUCUUGCAAGGGUCAAAUACUACUGUACAUCUAUCACUUGACACGAUCUCAUUACCGUUUAUGUUUGGACCCUUUAUGUUUUGCACAGCUCUAUGGUAGGUUUGAAGAAGACGCGCAAGGUACCGACAACCAAGAGAAGAAGAGAAGAAACAAUGAGCACAAGGUGCACGAGGAGCAAAGUGAUGGCAAGAAGCUCAAGGAACAGACAGAAGCCCCAACGCUAUCUAUGAACAAUUAUGAAACAUUAUGAAUAAGGAAUGAUGUUGUAUUAUGAAACAUUUAUCACUUGACAUGUUGUAUUUCUGUUGGAUGAUGUUGGACCUAUGUUAGAAGUAUGUUUGACAUGAUGUUUAAAUAUCUGUUGGAUGAUGUUUGAAUGAGCACAUGGUUUUCCCUUUUUUUGAUUUUUUUGAAUUUUGUUUUGCUCAUUUAAAUUCUGGUCAAACCUAACUUUGACCAAGAUUUAAGCAAGUCUAAAACAUCAAAAUGAAAAACUAAGCCUGGAUACUUCUUAGUCAAUCCAAAAUGAAGUUGUGGUGAGGUUUUUGAAAUUUUCAUGAAAAAUGUGCUAAAAAGAGGGGUCCAAAGGUAGGGUAAACGGCCUCAUUUCUAAGCAAGGUGUUUUUCGACCUUAUCUAAAUCAGCCAAAUAACUUUCCUACACAUAUAUUCUAUAUGUACAGACUAUGUGCGCUGGUUUUUCCAUUUUUUGAUUUUUUUUUAAAUUUGUUUUGCUCAUUUGAAUUCUGGUCAAACUUAACUUUGACCAAGAUUUAAACAAGUGUAAAACAUCAAAAUGAAAAACUAAGCCUGGAUCCUUCUUAGUCACUCCAAAAUGAAGCUGUGGUGAGUUUUUUGAAAUUUUCAUGUUCAUUUCCCCAAAACACUUCUCUUCACUUCAUACAAGAGAGUUUGAGAUACUCGAGAUAUCAUACAAUACACAUGAACUUAUCAUUUAAAUGUAUGUAAAGCUUGUUUAUCAACUUAAAUCGUUAGUAUAUGACAUAAGAAGACUAUGUGUGCAGGUUUUUCAUUUUUCUGAUUUUUAUUUAAUUUAUUAUGCUCAUUUGAAAUCUGGUCAAACAUAGCUUUGACUGCUCCAAACCCCUCCCAAACCCCGCUAACCCUAGCGCUGAAUAAGGACUGUUCAUCUAACCCUAGUGGUGAUCAAGGGCCGUCGAUCUAACCCUUCUAGAAGAAAUCUGCGGGGAGGAGGGGGGCGAUCCGCGAGAUGCAAUCUGAUUGGCUGGGAGAUUGUUUUUUUAACAAAUAUCGGACGCGCUGGAUGGACCGUUGGGCCGUCUCGUUGUCUGGGCCUGAGAUCGCAGUAAAUAGCCCGUCUCAGCCUUUCCAGGCCUUGCAUGCAUGGAGGCGGCUACGUGGGUUUGCGCAUGCGCGGGAGGCGGCGACGUGCAUGCAUGCGAGUGAGGCGAGCGAGGCGCGCUAGGCGAGCUAGGCGAGCUAGGCUAGCGAGGCGAGCUAGGUGGUUCAGGGCAGUGGUUCAGGGCAGCGGUUCACAUGCACUGCCCGGUCAAAGAUGCAUCGUUUUCAUGCAAAAAUUUAAGUGUGCAAAACGUAACGGAUACACACACGCGUCCGGAUUCACGCACGCACCGUUCUCAUCCUUUCUCUCUUCCUCUCCCACCCACAGGCCUAUAAAUGGGGUGCCUCUCUUCCUCUCCCACCCACAAGCCAGAUCCGAUCCUCUCCAACUUCAAACACCCAAGCGACCAAGCCCUCCCCAAGCGAGACCAAGUGAAGAAGAUGCAGUUCAACGGGCCGACCAUCCGCCGUCCGCCUGUGGUGCCGGAGCUGCGCUACCCACCGGGCGUGCUCGUGGAGAGGGAGCUCCGUGUGUGGGCUAUUUCAAGGUGGAGGGGUUCCGUCGAACUCACCCGCGCCUUCCUCAGAGCCGGCUAUGCCCACCUCCCACGGGGCUCACCGAGGAUGUUCACCCUCAACGAGGUUCAUGACCGCGGCGGCAUCCUCGUACUGCUCACGGUCACCUUCACCAACCCAUUUGACGUGCGCGAGCUCCUCGGCCAAGUCUUUUGGUGCGGCUGCGAGGCCAUCUUCUUCACCAUCUACAACAUCUACACCAACUACGAGCGCAUCUUCCCCGCUCCAGGCCAGAUGCACUCCCUUCCCUACGACGACGAGGAGGAGGUGUGAAGAUGAAGAUGGUGUUGAAGGGGCGCGCGCGGCCAAGGUGGAAGAAGGAGGUCAAGAUGAAGAUGUUCAAGCCCGGAGUCAAGCUUGUCAUGUUUGGUUUUUUAUUUUGUUGCUUUUCUAUGUCAUGUCGUGUCGUGUCAUGUUUCGUCAUGUGUCCAUGAACUGUCUGUGAACUUAUCUAAGUUAUUGUAAUGGUACGGUGUGUUCUAUCUCAUUAUGUGUGUUAAAAAAUGUCCGUGCCCAAACUUAUCAUUUCUUCCCUAAACAAGUCAUGAAGUUCAAGAACUUGUGGUUUUCAUUAAUGAAAAUCGUAGGGGGUGAGAAGCCCUCUGUUUCAUUCAAACAAAAAGUCAUGAACUAACAUGUAAAUUUAUUCCCUUUAAAUCCUAAACCAAGUGCCACUCUAACCCUAAACCAAGUGCCACUCUGACCAAAAUCAUGUGGUAGUGCAACAUACAUUUUCAACCUUCCAACCCUCCAAAAUUUAAGUGCAAAACAAAGGAAAACCACUCUCACGCGUGUGCAAACAUUCACGGUCUCACUAUUUUUUUUAAAAAAAAUUCACAGUCUCACUAUGUAUACCUUCCUUCCCUACCCAUGUCAAAGUCUUGCCAUCUGUCCUAGCGGUUACCAGCGCAUCCCUAAACACCACAAACCCACGCGGUCCUGGGUACGAGUCCCCAGCCGCACCAAUUUUUUGUGCAUUUUCCACCCUUCAUUUUUUUAUACAUAUUAUGUUUUCCUCAAUGUAAUGCCCUUAAAAAAUGUUCAUUUAUUUUGGCACCUGGCGUAAACCUCUACCAGAGCUGAGGCACAUUUUCCAUGACAUUUUGGUCUUUGAUUUAAAUCACGGUGUAUUUGAAUUGGAUUAAUUAACAGCUCCAAAAAAUUUCUAACCUUAAUUGUUUGGCUCCGGAAUAAUUCAAUUAGCUUCCACAAAAAGUUUCAGCAUUAUGAUUUACUGCCUAAAUUAAAUCAGAAUAGAAAACAAAAAAAUACGCAAGAAAACCCCUGAAUGGGCCUAAUUGGAUGCAGUUGGCCCAUUAGUCUAGCCCGCACUUGGCUCUACGCUCUGAAUUUGGCCCAAGAGAAACCUUUUUUUCAGACAGAAAGGCAGAGCAGAGAGCUACAUUUCAUUGAUCAAAAGUUUCUGAAUUCCUAAUUUCUUCUCUUUUUUCCAACAUAUUUAAAUGUUGGUCACUUCUUCUCUUUUUGUUUCAACAUUUAAACAACUUUAACCAACAUUUAAACUAGGUGAAUUUCUCAAACAAUUUCAAGAUUACAAAUUCCUUCAUAAUUCAUGCCUUUCCAUACAUUUUCAACAUUACAACCAGUGCGAUUACCAUACCUACAAAUGCCCAAAAGUAUUUGAAAAUGGGUAUUGGUAGUGCUUGAUCUUCAAGCUUCCUAACCUUCUUCUUCAACAUCCUAAGCUCAAUAGCUAGCUCUCUGUCAGUGCGUGCUUCGCCAUCCAUCUCUUCUUCCGGAGCUCGUGGUGUGGCCACUGCCGUUCGUGGCAGCAUGCGCAACCAUUCUUCAUGCUCUUCUUGUAGUUCAUUCAUCAGAGUCUUGUCCAGAGCAUCGACCCAAAGAAAGAAGCAUGUCACCUGCAUGAACACUAAACAGAUCAACCCAUUGCUCAAACAUCCCGACGACGAAAAUGGUGCAAUUGCCCCGAUUCUUACCCCAUUCUCGCUGCACACGUAGAACGGACGAUUCUGGUUCCUCGGUGUCUGAGAAACCCUUCGAUCAACACCUGCCCGGCACCGCGGACAGACGAAGACAGGCAUGUCCACACGCGCCCGGCUCUGCAUCCGCGAGGUGGCGCGGGAGCUUGAGGAAGACAUGGAGCUCGGAGCCGAAGGGGAUCUCAACGCCGCCGCGCCCUCCACUGCUAGCUUCCCACCGCCGCGCCCUCCACAGCUAGCUUCCCGCCGCCGUGCUCUCUCUCUCGCCGUGGUCACCGCCGUGCUCUCUCUCGCCGUGGUCACCGCGGCUGUCGCCCGCUUAUAUAGCACACCCGCCAACGGCUCUCUGCUCAACGGCUCUUUGCUGGGUCCCACAAGCCACGUGUGCAACGGUCUGAAUAAAAUUGGCCGUUUCUGCCGCCUGGUCCCACCUGUAAGGGCCGAGUCAAAAGGUUGACCUGACGGAGACGGCAGAGUUCACGGAACGAGUCGGUGUGCACGGACUAGGGGCAAAACUGAGCACAAUUCGCAUCUGAGGGCAAAACUGAGCACAUGGACACCACUGAGGGCAAAAGGAUAAUUAACCCUUGUUGAUUCCAAAGUAAUUGUUCACACUGAUCAUGCUGCUAUUAAAUACCUUAUGGAAAAGAAAGAUGCUAAAUCCAGACUUAUUAGAUGGGUUCUCUUGCUACAAGAAUUUGAUUUGCAUAUUAUUGAUAGAAAGGGAGCUGAGAACCCCGUUGCAGACAACUUGUCUAGGUUAGAGAAUGUUCAUGAUUACCCACUACCUAUUGAUGAUAGCUUUCCUGAUGAACAAUUAGUUGUCAUAAAUGCUUCUCGUACUACUCCAUGGUAUGCUGUUUAUGCUAAUUACAUUGUUGCUAAAUUUAUACCACCUAGUUUCACAUACCAGCAAGAGAAAAAGUUUUUCUAUGAUUUAAGACAUUACUUCUGGGAUGACCCACACCUUUAUAAAGGAGUAGAUGGUGUUACUAGAUGUUGUGUACCUGACCAUGAAUAGGAACAGAUCCUACGCAAGUGUCACUCCGAGGCAUAUGGAGGACAUCAUGCGGGAGAUAGAACUGCACAUAAGGUAUUGCAAUCCGGUUUUUAUUGGCCUACUCUCUUCAAAGAUGCCCAUAAGUUUGUCUUGUCUUGUGAUGAAUGUCAAAGAAUUGGUAAUAUUAGUAGACGUCAAGAAAUGCCUAUGAACUAUUCACUUGUUAUUGAACCAUUUGAUGUUUGGGGCUUUGAUUAUAUGGGACCGCUUCCUUCCUCUAAUGGAUAUACACAUAUUUUAGUUGCUGUUGAUUACAUUACUCAGUGGGUAGAAGCUAUUCCAACUAGUAGUGUUGAUCAUAAUACCUCUAUUAAGAUUCUUAAAGAAGUUAUUUUUCCGAGGUUUGGAGUCCCUAGAUACUUAAUGACUGAUGGUGGUUCACAUUUUAUUCAUGGUGCUUUUUGUAAAAUGCUUGCUAAUUAUGAUGUUAAUCAUAGAAUUGCAUCUCCAUACCAUCCACAGUCUAGUGGUCAAUUAGAAUUGAGUAAUAGAGAGAUCAAAUUAAUUUUGGAAAAGACUGUUAAUAGAUCUAAAAAGAAUUGGUCCAAGAAACCUGAUGAUGCAUUAUGGGCCUAUAGAACUGCAUAUAAAAAUCCUAUGGGUAUGUCUCCGUAUAAAAUGGUUUAUGGAAAAGCAUGUCACUUACCUCUCGAACUAGAACAUAAGGCAUAUUGGGCCAUUAAAGAGCUCAAUUAUGAUUUCCAACUUGCCGGUGAGAAGAGACUACUUAGCAUUAGCUCACUUGAUGAAGGGAGAACCCAUGGCUAUGAGAAUGCCAAACUGUUUAAAGAAAAAGUUAAAAGAUGGCAUGACAAAAUGAUACAAAAGCGUGAGUUUAAUGUAGGUGAUUCUGUUUUGCUAUACAACUCUUGUUUAAGAUUUUUUUUUGCAGGAAAACUUCUCUCUAAAUGGGAAGGCAUUUGGAAGUAAUAAGUAGAUGAUGGGUUGCUAGAGUGACAGAAGCUUAAACCCUAGUUUAUCCGUUGCUUCGUAAGGGGCUGAUUUGGAUCCAUAUUUUUCAUGCUAUGGUCAGGUUUACCUUAAUUCUUCUUUCGUAGUUGCGGAUGCUUGCGAGAGGGGUUAAUCAUAAGUGGGAUGCUUGUCCAAGGAAGGGCAGUACCCAAGCACCGGUCCACCCACAUAUCAAAUUAUCAAAGUAACGAACGCGAGUCAUAUGAGCAUGAUGAAAACUAGCUUGACGAUAAUUCCCAUGUGUCCUCAGGAGAGCUUUCCUUCAUAUAAGAGGUUGUCCAGACUUGUCCUUUGCUACAAAAAGGACUGGGCCACGUUGUUGCACCUUGUUUACUUCUGUUACUUGUUACCCGUUACAAAUUACCUUAUCACAAAACUAUCUAUUACUAAUAAUUUCAGUGCUUGCAGAGAAUACCUUACUGAAAACCGCUUGUCAUUUCCUUCUGCUCCUUUUUGGGUUCGACACUCUUACUUAUCGAAAGGACUAUGGUAGAUCCCCUAUACUUGUGGGUCAUCACUCGUCGGGUGAAACGGAAAAGGAUCUGCCCUCGAGAUUCUGUUGGUACUUAUAGUGCAGUUGAAAGGAUCGAGAAGAGGUGUCUAGAGGGGGGGUGAUUAGACCCUCAACAAACAAAGUUCGCAGCUCCAAUUAUAGCCCCUCUGGGGUGUAAAAUAUAUCUCUUCUCACCAUCCCCAUAGUGGGAAUUGUGCGGAUUUCGCAACUGCACCAAGGAAUAAUAAAAAAGCACACAAAGAUUUUCAAAUCUUUUCUAUUUAGUAGUCUAAGUUUCUCGAUGAGGAUAAUUAAUUCGGUCAUUGUGGUCGGACUCUAUUAUGGAUUUCUGCGGGUUCAAUUCCCGUCGCUCGCCCAUCGCAUUAUUGCAAAUUCCAAAAAUGCAAUUUUCCAUAUUUUAAGUUUUUCAAGUUGAGGUAAAAGAUUAGCACAAUUUCAAGCAAACACAAUACAUAUCAAGCAAGCAUGCAAAGAGUAUAUCAACAGCGGAAAGUAAAGCAUGCAACUUGCAAGAAAGUAAAGGGAUGGGAUUGGAGUGUGCAAACGCAAUUGGAGACACGGAUGUUUUUGGCGUGGUUCCGACAGGUGGUGCUAUUGUACAUCCACAUUGAUGGAGACUUCAACCCACGAAGGGUAACGGUUGCGCGAGUCCACGGAGGGCUCCACCCACGAAGGGUCCACAAAGAAGCAACCUUGUCUAUCCCACCAUGGUCAUCGCCCACGAAGGACUUGCCUCACUAGGGUAGAUCUUCACGAAGUAGGCGAUCUCCUUACCCUUACAAACUCCUUGGUUCAACUCCACAAUCUUGUCGGAGGCUCCCAAGUGACACCUAACCAAUCUAGGCGACACCACUCUCCAAAAGGUAAUAGAUGGUGUGUUGAUGACGAACUCCUUGCUCUUGUGCUUCAAAUGAUAGUCUCCCCAACAAUCAACUCACUCUCAAAGGAUUGGAUUUGGUGGAAAGAUGAUUUGAGUGGAAAGCAACUUGGGGAACGCUAGAUAUCAAGAUUCAUAUGGUUGGAUUGGAAUAUCUUGGUCUCAACACAUGAGUAGGUGGCUCUCUCUCAGAAAAUGAGUAGUGGAAGUGUAGACACGUUCUAAUGGCUUCCCUCAUGAAUGAGGAGAGGGUGGAGGGGUAUAUAUAGCCUCCACACAAAAUCUAACCGUUACAUACAAUAUACCAAACUCGGUGGGACCAAAUUAGAAAACUCAGUCGGACCGAUCCAAUACAUAAGGUGACCAUUAGGCAAUUUCGGUGGGACUGACAUGAUCAACUCCGUGGGACCGAUGUGCUAGGGUUAGGGUAGAACCUCAUCUCGGUUUGACCGAUUACACAAACUCGGUUGGACUGAUUUUGGUAAUAAGUGAAACAGAGAGUUGGUCAGGCAAACUCGGUGGGACCGAUUGCAUAUCUCGGUGAGACCAAAAUUAGUGCAAUAGGGAACCGAGAGUUUGCAAGCCCAUCUGGGUGAGACCGAGAUCCCAUCGGUGAGACCGAAUUGACUAGGGUUCCUGGCAGUGGCAAUGUCAAGUAGACUCGGUGGCGCCGGAUAGAUCAAAUCGGUGGGCCGAGUUUGACUUUUGGUUUUGGGACAUACGGAUAUAUGAGAAAGUGGUUGAGGGCUUGAGAGCAUAUCACUAAGCACUUUGAGCAAGCAAGCCAUUAAGCAACACCUCAUCCCCUUUUAAUAGUAUUGGCUUUCCUAUAGACUCAAUGUGAUCUUGGAUCACUGAAACAUAUUAUGUAGAGUCCUGAGCUUUGAGCUUGAGCCAAUCCUUUGUCCUUAGCAUCUUGAAGGGGUUCCACAUCCUCUUGUCCAUGCCACUACAUUGUUGGACUUAUCUGAUAUAUACUAGAUAAAAGUAUUAGUCCAACAAAAGAUAUGUUGACAUUAAUUACCAAAAUCACCAAGGGAACACUUGUGCUUUCAGCAGUAGAAGGCCCAAGUCCACCGGCUAAAUCUACAAACACAGUAUCACCUGCUCCACCAGCUGCAGCAUCCGCUUCAACUGUACCAGCAUCUCAACGAGUUACUCAUUCGUUUGCUCCGGAACUGGCCAGUUCCCAAGCUGCCUUCACACCUAACACUACUUCCAAAGCACCGCUGACACAACAGGACUUGGCAAGAUCAGAUGAACCUCAUGAGCAUCAACACCAAGACGGUACCUGACCGAGUCAAGUUGUAGUUGCAUGCUCCUUUAUAUGUACUCUCAUAGUUUGAUGUACACUAACACUUUCCAUAAUUGUUGUUGAACUAGCACCACGGUGCAAGAGGAAACAAACAUCAGGGAUAAUGCUUGACAGAUUAACAAAAUCUAAAGGAGGAAGAAUGGAGAUCCAUUUUGAGGCAGGUUUAAAAAGGCCACAUGAUGCUAUAAAGUCAGCCAAGUUAGUAUCAGAGGCAGCCGUUGCCGUUAGGUGUCAUGCACGUAUCCUCCCAACAUGGAUCUAGUACAGGAAUGAGAAAGACAAUACCCAGUUUAACACCUUCCUUGACCAUUUAUCCAUAAGUAAUGUUAUUCAUCGCAAUUAGUAAUAUUGUCUUGCUCUGUCCCAUACUUUCUAGCUUCCUCCUAAUAAGACUCACAUUCUUUUUUCAACAAAUGAGGUUCAAGUUGGAUCCGAAAGAUGAUGCAACUAAACAAGCAUGCACUCAUGUUUUUCAGUCUGCUCUGCGACAGUAUCGGUACCACCUUAGAAAAUCUCACUUUGAAGGCAAGGCUAACAAUGAAAUCGCCCAAACAUCUCCAGUGGAAUAUAUUACACAUGAAGACUGAACAACCCUUGUUAAACACUGGUCUCAUCCAAAGUAUCAGGUUGGCUAUAUGUAUUUGAUCAGACCACAUAUUGAACUUGUAUUUAUGUAUGUGCCUUACGAGUGUAUCUUCUUCUAGGCUAACUGUUUGAAGAACAAGACCAACCCUUAUAAAGUGAAAUUCCAACAGACAACAGGAUCUCGUAGCCACUGUAAGGCUCUUGUAAAUAGUUGCUACUUCCUUCUUUUUUCUGUGCCAUAUUAUCGUAUCUAUAUUGACUUGUUCCAAAUACAGAGGAAAGCCCGUGCGGACCAAAAAGAAGUUGAACCGAAUGCAGUGCAAAUCUUCAAGGAUUGGCACACCAGCAAGAUGAAGGGCAUGAGCACACCAGUUCAAGCCGUUGUUGUAAGUCCUUACUCCUCCUGCCUUUGAACUGAUUGGUAUUGUGAUGUGUUCAUUUAACUGCUUGGUUUGCAGCCAAUGUCAGUUACUCUGUUCACUUUUAUACACAGUUGUCUUAACGUAUCAUUCACCUUACAUGGUUUAAAAGAGAUGAAGGAUAUUCUUUUGGUCUUGAUCUGUAAUCUAGUUGUGAUGUUCACGUGCGCACACAAUGAUAAAAUAGCCUGUUUGUUUUAUAUCUGUUUGCCAUGAUACGAAUGAUGUCAUACUAUGUUCAUCCUACUUUAAACCAUGUCUCUUUAUCCUUAGAUGUCAACGAAUAUGAGGAAAUAGACAAUACAGUAGGCAUGCUACAUGGACAUAUGUUCCAAAAGUGAUUUUAUUAUGUAGUUGGCACUACAAUACAUGCUAAUGUAUUACAGUAGUUCACCAAAAUAAGUUAUGUAUAAACGUGUAACCUACUUUGUUUGUUUUUAUCUCAUUAGUAACUUAUCUGGUACAGUAAUCUACAAGUUCAAACUUUCAGCAAGCUAUGGAACAAAUGAUUGAACAGCCACAACCACCUGAAGGUGACGAGGCUACCACAUGCACAAUGUCACCUCUUGCUGCAGUGCGUCAGUAUCUCUCCACUAACAGUGCAAAAAGCACCUUCCUGCGUAAUUCUGGGUGGUUGUCAAGGUAACCUCGUCCAAAUCGCCUACUGAACAAAAUCUUCCAGCUAGACAGAGUGAAAUAUUUGUGCUCCAGACACAAGUCCAAUCCCUAAUGGACGUCGUUUCGGAAACAAGAAUAGUGGUUGACAAAUGUUGUCAAGAUAUGAAUGGUUUUGAAACCAGACUAUCAGACAUUCGCUCUGUUGUUCAAGAGCAAUGGCGGAAAAAAGGUGAAGAUCGUGCUGCUCCAUCAGAUUCUACAGCCUGAAACAUUAGCACUCACGUCAAAUGAUCUGUGCUUCUAUACAUCUAAUGGUGCUUUUAUCUGCAAGGACUGCAAACUUUAUGCCAAUAGGCCUUUUGUUGUAUGGUUGGAAAUUAUUUUGUUGUGAUACAACAUUUAUGAUGCUGCCAAAGGUUGUAGUAAUUACGACGCUGUUUUUGUAUAGUGUAGGUUUAUCUUAGUAAUGUAUUCGGCCGAAAGCUUUGUAGGAGCCCAACAUGCCAACAUUCGUCGGGCCCAUUCCAAUUGGGAUAAAAACGAUUACGGGCCGAAAUUUGCAUGUAGCCCACUAAAAAUAUCUAGGCCUAAAUCAGCAUAAACUUUCAUAUUUUUCUGGUAGGCCUAUGCCCAUAGUGGGCCUUUAACAGGCCUAAACAUAAUUUGGGCCCUCAGUAACAAUAGGCCGUUUAUAGGUGUAAAUAUCUCGAGCCCAUAAAAAACAUGGGCCUUUAAUAGGCCGAAAGUGAGAUUGGGCCAUGAUUGUGCCAAAUAACCCACUCGUCUUAACAGGCCGAAAUGGUGGCCCAUUUACAAUGCGGAUCAUUCACAGGCCAAAAUUCGGACGGGCCGUAAAUGCGCCGACCUACUACACGGGCAUUUAAGAGGCCGGAAGAUCGGUCGAGCUUGAUUAGUGUCAUUUUUAUAUGGGCCGUUAAUAGGCCCGCUGUGACGUUGGGCCAUAAAUGGCCCACGGAUUUCGUCUGACGUUAAUAGGCCGAAAAUCACAACAUGCUGAAAGUGGCCAAAUCUAUAGUGGGCCUCUAACAGGCCGAAUGUUAGCCAUGGUCGAAUAUGACCCAAAUCCUUCACGGCCGUUUAUGGGCCGAAAGUUUCAAUGGCUUGUAAAUGGGCCCAAAUGAAGCAGGACCUUUAACAGGCAGGAAAUACACCGGGCCCUAAUUCGGCCCAAAUACUUAGUGGACGGUUAACGGGCCAGAAGUGACCAUGGGCCGCGAUGAUGACAGGUUUAGCUGGGCCGACCCAUUAUGGUCUGCAAAAUCUUGUGGGCCUUAAGCUGGGUCGGCCCAUUAUGGUUUGCAAAAUCUUGUGGGCCUUUAGCUGGGCCGGCCCAUUAUGGUCCGCUAAAUCUUGUGGGCAUUUAGUUGGGCCGACCCAUUUAAACUUUAUGGGCCACUUUUAGGCCCGUCCACAUGUCAACAUAUGAUAGGCGCAUCUCGACCAUUGGAUGAGUGACACCUGUGCCAACGCGGAGCUGACAUGUGGUUCCGUCGGCCAAUGAGAAUUGUACACGUGGAAAAUGGGCAUUGGUCAUGGUUGUUAGCGGGUUAUCGGAUCCAAAACCGGACCCGAUAGCUUAUCGGCAAGCCGUUAUGGUGGAUGCCACAUGUCGGUCACCCUUGAUGAAAGCACUUCCAUGACGCGCCAUUUAUCGUCAUGGAAGUGGACACUUCCGUGAUGAUAAUUUUGGUACUGUCAUGGAACACUUCUACGACAGCACAGGUGUGACUAUCUUGAUUCUGUCAUAAAAUCGUCAUGGAUGUACAUGCAUGACAGAAAAUGUGACCUACUGUGACAAACAUGUACCAUCACGGAAGUGUAUUUUUUUGUAGUGGAAGAAGCGGUAACACCUAAGCGCACCACGACAUAUAGUUAUACGUCGUCAGCUUCACCGGGAUGAGAUGCGCAAAGUAGAAUGGCGUAUGAGACACACCAUAAUUCAAAGGUGGCGGUGGCGCGGCAUAGAAGCCCGGGGGGACGCUCGGUAGCAACUCCGUAGAUGACCCGUAGGGUGCCCCAUAUGAAGGAGAUGCGCCAGUAGGAGGCACUGUCACCAACGCGCACGACACCGACGGCGCGGCAUGGGGCAGCCAUGGGGCAACCUGUGCGAUUUCGGGAUGCGACGGCGGCACGGCAGCAGCGUAGGAAGCAACGUCAUAGUUCGGUGCCGAUGCAGAUACUUUAGAGGAACCAGCGCCAUGGGCCAGCCGGAACUGUUGGGUACCAGGGGCCAGCAACAGCGGCUGGGCGAAGCCAGAUGCAGGUUGCCAACUCAUCCAAAAGUCCGAACUGAUGAAGGAAGGGGUUACGAUGUCUCUGCUCCGGCGCUCAUGGAGUUCUUGAUGCAGCUGUGCAACAGGUGCGAAUCUGUCCGUUUGUGUGCUUGAACGGCCGCGAUUUGGAUUUGAGUUUGGAGCUUCUGCAAGAUCUAACUUUCUCUUACCUUCCAUGUGUUUCUGCAGUAGAACGCUCAUAGAGGAAGUGAAUGACAGUGACGUACCCAUGGAGCCUUUGCAUUAUCCUGUUUUGUCAGCGGCGGCUGGCGAGGUGCCGGCGACGAGUGCUUCCAGUGUGGAGGCGCGGAUCUGUGCAGCGGUGGCUGUAACACCAGGAGGGAGUGCAGAUAGGCCGCAAGUAUCUGAACACUCGAUAGAGCAAACUGAUCCACAGACGCCCGGCUAGACACAAAGGUAUGCUUAACUGGCACACCCCGCUGAUACAAAAUUCUGGCUAAGUUGUUCAAGUACUACUAAGAUUUGGGAGUCCAUUCAGCAAGCAGAUAGUUAAUUUGUCCGUGGAAUCCAUGCGGAAUGCAUUACAGGGAAAUUGAUUAUAGAUUAAUGGGAAUGGGGAUGGGAGAUGUAUUUGACAUUACAAGUCUGUGCGGUAUAAAAUCACUCGCUCAAAACACAUAAUAAUGAAUAAAGGGUGCAUAUAUUGUGUUCUGGGACAUCAUUUGAAAAAUGCAUGCAAAUUCAUUACAGGCAUGUUGUAAUCUGGAAUGCUCUGUUUUUUUAUUUUAGUAACUAAUUGUGCAUGCACAUUUUUUGAUAAAAAUUCAGGGUCAGGGUUGGUGCUGUAGCACCAGGCCGUGCCCCCUAUCCAGGUAGGAUGACAACAUUGGAGAAAUGAGUGUGCAUGUUUGCCGAGUCCCCCAAUGAUAAUGUGAUUAUGCCAAUGUUAGGCAUCAGCUUCGAUACGCUUGAAGAUGCCUAUGAUUUUUACAAUCUGUAUUCAUGGGAGAAAGGAUUCAGCAUUAGAUCCGGUGCUUUCCCAUAGCUACAAUAGUGCACGCAGUAAAUGCAGAAGUUGGGGCGCUAAGAGCAGCUGUCUCCUACCUCACAAAGUUGGAUCUAUCGUUCUUGAAGAUGGCGAACCCAUAGAGGAACCUCCUGCGGGGACUGGGUGCUUCAGCGAGCAUGGAGUUCUUGAUCCAGCCGAUAAAUAGGUACGGAUAUGCUUGCCCUUGCUCCGUUCGCCACCGUUUUUAUUUAGGUUUUUUGGAUGAUUUAAUUUCUCUGUCGGUUAUUCGUGCAAGCAGCAGAAUGCUGCUAGAAGAGCUGAACAACAUCGCCAAGGAGCUAUUCACUACCUUGUGAGGACGCCGCCGGUGGUUGAGCUGCCGCCGGUGUCCUGAAUUGAGCUUGUGUAGAAAGAAUUAAGUAUGUGCAAUAUUAUUUAUGCCAUGACUAGUGAGAAUGAUAGACUUGGCUGAAUUAUGUUGCAAACAUGAUGCGUAAUAGAGAUUUACUGGAGGGUAGGUAUGUCAUAUAGAGCUCUUCCUGGAGCUGGGUGUGUGAUACAUUAAUUUAAUUGAUUUAACUGUGAAAGGUUACUGAAUAUGUUUACAUAUUUGCUUGGGCUUCCAGAGUGCAGGUUGGUGCUGCCACGCUAGGCAGAGCUCCACGCCUUGAUAUGAUUACAGCACUGGAGAAAUCAAUCUGAAGAUUUGCAGAAGAACCAGGUGAUUGUGCCAAAGAUAGGAACACGUUUUGACACAUUUUGGUGAGGCCUAUGAUUUUUACAAUUUAUAUACGUGGGAGAAUGGAUUCGGCAUUAGAUACGGAAAGAACAGGCUAAAUGUAAACCGGAAAAAUGCAUGAAAGAGAUAGUCUGUGGUUGCGCAGUAUGCCAUUGUGUUUGCAAUGUUCUAUAAUUUUUCAGUUCACCAUGUGGAAGUUGUGAUGAAGUUAACUGACUUUGAUUUAUCAAAAUUUUAACAGGGGAAACAAAUAGUUGAAAAUACUCGGUCUUGCCGCUGUUAAUGCCCUACCCUCAUAAGAUUGUUACAGUUAAAGGACAACAGAAGCAUCGAGAUGAGCACCAUUCAUUGUCUCCCACGAACGGACAGAUAAUACACUUGCCAUCACACAAGCAUAUCGAUGUGUACAUCAGAGGUCUCGUGAAGCAGUUGUGGCAAAAACAAUGACAACUUAUCGAGAAUGGGGAUGUCGUGAACCAGGUUCACCCAGAAGGUGCAGAGAUGGGACAGGGAGGCAGAAUGCCUACUGUUAUGAGGAAAUGAGGAACGAUGAUAACACUUUAGCCAAUCAGUUGGGUGAUAUGUUGACAGGCUUAUUGCCUCCAGCUAAGAGGAAGGAGACGGGAAAGCCUAUGGCAAGCAGAUAAAAGCACUGUAUGAGGGACUAACUAAGAUAACAAGAUUUUGCAUGAUUUUUGGUGACAAGCACACAAACAGAUACCCUGUCCUGAUCGUGGGGAUGUACCAAAACAGCCUCGGAAGCCAGGAAGAUGCAAGAAUUGUGGCAUUGAAGGCCAUCAUCGAUACAACUACCACAAAGCGGUUGAGCUCAGGCUGAAGAGCUGAUCUGAUCUUGUUUUGUUUAGAUGCGGCACUUUGCUUGCCAAAAUUUAAGCUGCCUUGUACCUGACUACUAAGCUGUGUUCUUUCUGAAUAAUUAGAACUUGUCUGUAAAACAUCUGCACUGUAAAAUGGUUGUGCUUUGCAUGAAGAUCUUCCUGUGUUGCUGAUAUUAUUUGAUUGUGCUUCCUUACUGAACUGGAGUGAAUUGCAGAAAACAUCGACAUUGAAGGAUAGAUUUGCAGGAAUCACAAUUCUAAAGUUUUGUUCCAAAAACAACUAAUUCUGAGGCUAAUUUUUUGCCAAAAAAAAAAACUAGUCGCCAGCUUAGGACGUUUUGAGCACGAUUAUGACAGGAGGGUCCCGCUGGACAGGGCGACGUGGCAAAAUAUAACAGAUCACAAAUAGAAAAAAUAGCAUGGACUAAACUGUAAAAGGACCGAAGAGGGUAAGGUUCGUGCAGCAAACAAAAAAUAUCUGGCAUCGUCUUCCUGCUGCCCAGCCGCCGAGCUCGCCCCGGCGUGCACAUCCGGUCUGCUCCCGGCGUCCAGCCGCGCCUCCGACGUCCACCGGCGAGUACCCGGACCCGUAGCUGCCUCCAAGUCCUUCGUCGCGGACCCGUCACCGCGCGCCGUCGCUGCCCUGCAGGUUCCCCGAUGGUUGCGUAUCGACCACGGAGUUCAACGCCUCCACGCACAAAACCUCGUCAGCGCCAAGUUCUUUCACAAGGAGCUCGUUUCCUCCUCUCCCUCGCUCCAUGGCGUCGGCGCCGGCCUCCCAAUCCCCGCUCCUUGGCCCGCGUAGGUGUGGUGACUGGUGAGAGAGGGCGCCUCACCGCGGCCGAAGCUCAAGCCGCCGCCGCCGCCCUUGCUGCUCACCUGCAUCGGCACUAGCUAGGUGACGGGGAGGCACACCAGAUGGACGCGAGUAGCUAUGCCCGCCGCACGGGCGCGAGCAGCAGUGGCGUCGGCCACGCUCACCGUCCAUCCCGGCCUCAUGCCACGUUUCCCCCGGCUCUCAAUGGUGGUAGCCCGGAGAGGAAGUGGCCGGCGGCGUCCACCGCCGGACCAAUGGGAGACGUUGGUCACUGAGGACCUGAUUGCUUUUUUUUCAGGGGUCUUUUUGCAAAUCACGAAUGUAUCAGGGUGUAGUUAGCGUUUUUCUUUGCCACAUCGCCAUGUCCAGUGGGACCCCUGUCAUAAUCGUGCUCAAAACCUCCUAAGCCGACGACUAGUGUUUUUUGUAAAAAAAAAUAGCCUCGAAAUUAGUGGUUUUCUGCACAAAACUAUAGAAUUGUGAUUCCUGCAAACCUAGCCUCCAAUGUCGACGUUUUCUGCAAUUCACUCUACUGAACUGCUUGGCACAUAGUGUGUGUUGUUUACGUAUGUUUCCUGCCUGACUGAUUAAGAACUUUAUGUGAAUUAUCUAUCUGCAUGAACCUCAAGACACAUGCCUGGAUUUGAUGCCUGGAGGUGGUGGUUGAUGAGAUGUUCAGAUACAAACCACGGGCCAAGGUUGCUAGAUGCGCUAAUGGGUGAGUGCGUCUCGGUUGUGCCAAUAUUUUGACAGCUGCAGCCAUCCUUCUGCAACCUAAUAUAACAAGCAGUCGUGACAUGUCCACCGAUGAUCCUGCCUGGUACAGGCGAGCCUGACCCUUCCAUGGUUGUGGCUCCACUAGACAAGAUCGUGCCAGCUCCGCUUGAUGACUCCACUGCUUGAUUGGUUCGCCUGAACCGCUGAACGAGCUCUUCGGUGCAAGUAAGCUGCGGGCUUGGGCGAAUCGCUGAACCAGUCUCAGAUCACCAACCAUCUCGGUGCGCCGGUUCGGCGUUCACUCCACCGCAAAAAAUCCAAGUGUAGAUGCAUGCGCCACAGUCGGGCAUGGAAUGAGCAGCAAAAUCUCCUCCAGGCCGGCGGUGGACGAUGAAGCAAACAUGGUGGAGAAGGGAUGGGGCUGGUGGCAGUGGCUCUGAUGGCAUAGAAAGCAACGGCAAAUCUGUGCGGGGUUCGGGUGGAUCCACUGGAUUAUAAAGAUGACUGAGGCUAGUCGUAAUGGGAGUGUCAUAGAUAGUAUUAUGCAUGUCAACUAGGGAAAUUUAAUAACGUGGCAUGAAAUUAAAGAGUGGGUUGACUAUCAUAUCAUGAUACCGUAACAUAUUAAAUGUUGUGCUACAAUGUGUCAUGCAUGACAAUAAAUAAAGUCAUCUAUGAUAUUAGCACAUGAUACUAUGCACUACGGUUGUAGUAUCAUACACUAGUAUCAUAUGCAUGAUACUCACCAUUACGACCAGCCUGAGCAUGUUGGAGAAGAUUGGUAGCUCCAACGUCAGGGGACAUUAAAUGAGAUCGGCGCCGACGUUAGUAGGGGCGCGUUUGGUUGCCUGCAUGCAGCCACACCAAGCCCGCGCGGGAUGUGCGUGGCCUGUUUGGUUGCCUGGGCUGCAUGCGUUUUGUGCCCCGCACGGAACUUAAAGCAGGCCUGAGCCUGUUCUCGCAAGCCUGGCUCGGCACGGCCACGUGUGCGAGGGGGUUGCACGCUUCGUGCAGCGCAGGAGAUGGAGGGGACGUCUCAUAACUCCCCCCCCCCCACUCUCUUGUUACUGCCCCGCCCACACUGUUCCCACCGCUCCCUCUCUGCCUCACCGCCCCUCCCUCUCCUCUCCACCGAUGGUUACGCCUUGCCCACCGCCGCGUCGUCCUUUGAUCCCCGUCGACCAGCGCAUCGCCAGCAUCCAGGAGUGCUGGGUGGCCGGGCUGCAGAACUCGGGCAGGGACCUGGCAUCGACGCUGCGAGCGUCGUCCCCCAUCUGCUGCCGGCCACCAUGAGCGUCGGCCAAUGCUUUGCCAGUCGUGCCUGCUCUGCCGCCGAUUCUGGACCUCAUGGUCCUGGGCUCGAUGUCGGUGCCACCCACGGAGCUGCCGCUUCUUAGGUCCCCAUUGGGCAGGGGGGUUUUCUUGACCCCCGUCCAAGGGUUUUCUCUUGUCGGCGCGCCGUCCUCCUCGACCUCCGACGUGGCCAUGAGCACGGGACCGAUGCCGCAGGCCCUCGCCAGGGCCGGCUACUCCUUUGCUCCGCCACCUCUCUCCUUCCCGCCGGGGUUUUCACCCCGAUCUCGGUUCGCUACGACUGCGUGUGCUCCGGUGAGUCAAACCCCCCAAUGCUUGCUCGUAGAUGUAGACUGGGGGUUUAUUUCUCAGGCAUGUGCUAGUACUUAGUGGAUUCGAUAGGACUAGAUUGGAUUGGGGUCCGAUUGGAUGUAAUCCGAAUCGAAUCCAAUCGGACCGAUCUGUUCUUGUUUGCUACAGUGUGUGUCCUAGGAUAAUGUUCUUCUGCUCUGGUGCUUUCCUAGGAUAUGUAUUCAUGGUAGGAGGUGUGUUAAUGCUAGAAUCCCCUAUGCUAGUGUGCUUUGCUAGGAUCUGUGUUCAUGCUAGGGUCUUGCUAGGAUAUGUGUUCAUGCAAAUGGCAUGUUCAUGUUCAAGUUAGGAUCAUGUUCAUGUUGUUGUUCAUGUUGCUACAUACAUGUUCAAGCUAGGGUUUGUGUUGCAUGCUCUACAUUGUUAUACGUGCAUGUAGUAGGACCAUUUUAGGAUGCUGCCAAAUGUGCAUGGGUGCACAUGGGUGCUAUUUUUAGAUGUUUCCAUGCUUAGGAUAGUGCACUGAUGAGUGGUAGUUGUAGAAUACCAUAUGCCACUGAUCAGUGGCAUUUGCUCAUGGGCAACUACCACUAAUGAGUGCCACUUGCUGUUGGGCAAGUCCCCUUAUCAGUUGCUCUUGCUCUUGAGUUGAGCAAGUGCCAUUGAUCAGUGGCACUUGCCCAAGAGCAAAUGGCACUGAUCAGUGGCAUUUGCCCAAGAGCAAGUGCCAUUGAUAAGUGGAAUUUGGCAAAGAGUUUGUGCACUGAUCAGUGGCAUUUGUUGUAAUGCUAGUGCAACUGAUCAAUGGCAUUUGCAGAAGAGCUAAUGGCACUGAUCAGUGGUUGUUCAUUUUGCAACCACCUCUAAUACUUGUCAUCCUACCUGACAAGAUAUUCAAGAGUGACUGGGACAUGGCGGGUAAAGGAGCUCAGGUGGUGGCCGGAGCUGAGGGCGCCGAGGAUUUCAUCCCCACGAACAGGUGGCUCGGGAAGGUGGACCUGCCUAAAAGGAUCGCCUUCAUGAGCCUGCCUCGUUCAACGGGACGAUCUCCGAGGCAGGGCCACGAGGAGGGGGCCCGGGAGCCGUUGCGCUUCUACCAGCAGAUCAAGGACAAUGAGGACCUCGCCAUGCUUGUCGUCCCUCGCAAGUUCAUGGAGGUGAUGAACACCUGGCUGGUCAUCAAGCAGCUCACGUGCGUGAUCAGGCUGUCGGCGAACAAGCGAUGUGUGUUCUGGGUGAAGUUCCAGAACUACGAGGGGCGCAUGGUGCUUCACCGGUGCUGGAACUACUUCUGCCACUGCCGCCUGAUCGUCCCCGGCGACCUCGUCGUUGUGCGCAUCUCAGGACUCAGAUUGAAGGUUCAGAUCUGCAACCACGACUCAUCGGUCAUGUGCAGGUUUUGUUGCAGCAGGCACAACUGCAUUGGUGACAUUGAGCAUGCUAUGUAGUUAAGUAAGGUGUUAGUGUUGAACUUUUAUGGUGUGUGGCUAGAUUAUGGUACUUGUGCUGGGAACUUGUUAAUAUUUUGUCCAGGAGCAGCACCCUGGCGUGGAGCAGGGAAGGAGGAUGCCCUGUUGUUAAUCUAAGUAGUUUGCUGUCAUUUUCUUGCUUGCUUUGUUUGAUUUCAUUUGGUUGCUUGCUUUGUUUGAUCUCAUAUGUGCUUGCUGUUGUGCUGAUCAUGUAGUGGUAAGGCCACCACAUGAAUGGGGUGAGCAAAACACAAAUGUUGUUUGCAACCAGACAGCUGAAGUUUGCACCUACUCACACCAUAAGCACAAAAACGGCAACCAAACAACAGGGGGUACGUGCCCCUCCAUGGGCGCAGUAGGGGAGUUGGCCGCCGUGGUGUUGGAGUCAUCAUUUCCUGAUGUCGUGUAACGCCUUGGAGUUAGUAUGUUGGAAUGUUAGAGGUCUUAACAAUCUAGCCAAGAGGAAGGCACUUAGAGGGUUUGUGGAAUCUGUCCGUGCGGCGACCGUUUGUAUUUUAGAAACUAAGUUAGAAGUGGUGGACAAGUAUGUAAUCUUGCAAUGCAUGGGACCAAAUUAGGAUGGUUUCACUUACUUACCGGCGUCGAGGACUAGAGGAGGUAUUUUCGUGGCUUGGGACACCAUGAGGGUUUGGUUGACAAACUAUGUCAACGAUUCUCAUUGCAUUACAGGGUAUGUAUCACCUAUUGAGGGGACGCCAUGGUGGUUAACAAUAGUUUAUGGGCCGCAACAGGAUGAUCAAAAGAUUAGCUUCCUGAAUGAGCUAUUGGAGAGGAGAUCUCUUAGUCCCGGGCCAUGGCUUGUCAUCGAUGACUUCAACCUUAUUCUUUACGGGGCAGACAAGAAUAACUCCAACUUGGAUUGGAGAAUGAUGGGGAAGUUUAAAUGUUUUGUCGACAAUAACGCGCUCAAGGAGCUUUUCUUGCAUGAGCGCAAAUUCACUUGGAGCAAUGAAAGGGAGACGCCUACCCUCAUGAAGAUAGAUCGUGCGUUCGUCUCCGUCGAUUGGGAGCUCGAUCACCCGGAGUGCCUACUUCAAGCUUUAUCCACUGAGUACUCGGAUCAUUGUCCUUUACACCUCACACUCCAAGAGUCCGUGCACAUUAGGAGGAGGUUCCGCUUCGAGAAGUUUUGGGUCAAAAUGGAUGGUUUUCUUGAUGUCGUCAAAGAGGCUUGGACCUGUGAUCCGGAUAUCACCGAUCCUUUCAUGCGGCUUGAUAUCUUGCUUCAUAACACGACUAGAGCUCUUGCCACAUAGGGUCAAAAGGAUAUAGGAAAUAUCAAGCUGCAAAUAGCCAUCGCAAACAUUGUCAUCAUGCGGUUCGACUGCGCCCAGGAAAAUUGUAUGCUUACGGAGGAGGAGAGUGGCUUAGAAGAACCCUUAAGCAGCUUGUGCUAGGGUUGGCUUCCUUAGAAAGGACCAUUGCUAGGCAAAGGUCGAGGAUAACAUGGCUACAAGAAGGGCAUGCAAACACGUAGUUGUUUCACUUGGUGGCGAAUGGGGGACGUAUGAAGAAUUACAUCCCUUCUUUGCAUAUGGAUGGUCGUAUUAUCACCGAUCAGAAAGAAAAGGAGGAAGCCUUUUACAAAGCUUAUAAUGACCUGUCGGGCAAGGAUGUGGCACGAGAAUUCACUCUGGACUUGGAGGGAUUGGGAGUCAGUCACAUUGACCUCUCUGAGCAGGACAGAGUGUUUUGUGAGGACGAGAUUUGGGCAGUUAUUAAGGGCAUGCCCUCGGAUAAGGCACCUGGGUCGGAUGGGUUCAUAGGCUUGUUUUUUCAGAAAGCUUGGGAGGUGAUCAAGGUGGAUCUCAUUGCCGCGAUUCACAAGCUUUUUGUUGGAAAUGGAAGGGGUUUUGGGAGGCGAAACCAAGCUUUGAUCACUCUUCUGCCGAAGUCUCCGGAAGCUUGCACUGUAUUCGACUUCAGACCCAUAUGCCUAGUGCAUAGUGUCGGUGUCAAAACCGGCGGAUCUCGAGUAGGGGGUCCCGAUCUGUGCGUCUUAGGCUGAUGGUAACAGGAGGCAAGGGACACAAUGUUUACCCAGGUUCGGGCCCUCUCGAUGGAGGUAAAACCCUACUUCCUGCUUGAUUGAUAUUGAUGAUAUGAGUAGUACAAGAGUAGAUCUACCACGAGAUCGUAGAGGCUAAACCCUAGAAGCUAGCCUAUGAUGAUUAUGAUUGUGAUCGUCCUUCUAAGGACCAACCUCUCCAGUUUAUAUAGACACCGGAGAGGGUUAGGGUUUACAUGGAGUCGGUUACAAAGAAGGAAACAUAAUAUCCGGAUCGCCAAGCUUGUCUUCCACGCAAAGGAGAGUCCCAUCCGGACACGGGACGGAGUCUUGAGUCUUGUAUCUCCACGCUCCAAUAGUCCAGACGAAGUAUAGAGUCCGGCUGUCCGGAUACCCCCUAAUCUAGGACUCCCUCAGUAGCCCCUGAACCAGGCUUCAAUGACGAUGAGUCCGGCGCGCGGUCUUGUCUUCGGCAUUGCAAGGCGGGUUCCAUCUCCGAAUACUCCAAAGUACCUGUUACGACGAACUGUGUUCGGCUUCCCAUUAAUGUUAUACUCCUCGGCUUCUGUGCCUCAAUAAUGACCCUUUCCACGUGUUGAGUGAAUGCGAGGGGUCAAGGCAUUUUUGCAUUUGCCACCCCUUGGUCCGGCAGGUUGACCGUCUAUUUGAGGAGACGGGGAUUCUCAGAUCCAAACCUCAUCCUCUUCCCUCGAGCAAGCAUCCAACAGAGCGCUCCGGAAAAACCAUUCCAACAUGGCCGGUCGUCUCAGCUCUUCUUCUCGCUCUCCUCGCUCCAGGCCGGGUGACUGAGAAGAUUGUUCAGUUCCUCACGGUCAUUUGAUAGAGUUACAGACCCAAGGGUUUCUCCCACCGGCGUUCAUGGUCUCCGUCCGAGCCGGAAUAACCACUUAUAAUGGCGGCGAGCAAGCGGAGGGAUCUCCUAAUCCUUCCCCAGAGGAGCGAAUAUGCCUCAUCCCGCAUCUGCUAAGGGGCGUCGAGUUUCCUAUCCACCCAUUUCUUCGCGGGCUUCUGGAGUUCUACGGCCUUCAGUUGCACAACCUCACCCCUGCCUCUGUGCUGCAUAUAGCAGGAUACGUCGCCCUUUGUGAGCUAUUCCUAGGCUGCGAGGCUCACUUUGGGUUAUGGAAGAAGUUGUUCUGCCUUGUCCCUCGCAACCAGGGAGAAUCCCUAUGUCAAGUGGGCGGAGUCGAAGUAUGGCGCAUCGCCGAGACCGGAUACCUAUCCGGCACUUCCAAGAAGGCACCGGAGAACUGGCCCUCGGAGUGGUUUUAUGUUGACGAUGUUCCCCUUCCGGAUCCAGUCCGGACAGGUCUCCCUAAGUUCAACAAUGCUCUGCUGAAGACGCGUCGAAGCUGGCGCCCUCGGGGCCCCCAAGAGGAGGAUACCAGAGAAAUACAUUUUCUAAUGAGCCGGAUAAAGUUACUGGCCAAAUCCGGGCUGACGAUAGUCGAGGUCAUGGCAAUAUGCGUAAUGCAGGGAGUGCAGCCGCUCCAAUAUUGGGGGAAGCCCAUGUGGCACUACAACGGGGAAGAUGAUGCCACCCGUUGUGGUUGUAAAGGUCCGGACUCUGCCAAGGCUCUGGCGAGGGUAUUGUCCGAUUUAUAUAAAGGGGAAGAAGAAGAAUUCCUUCACAUUAAACCGCGGGAUGGGUUUUCUAUGUACAACCCCCCAAGCUGGGUAAGUCGUCAUUCUUUCCCCUGCUUUACCUAUUGUGGCAUUCUUUGCCAAGAUUAUUUACCCCGAUAUUUUUGAGCAGGAACUGAGGAGGUCCGUAGAAGGAAUCUCCAGCCCCUCCCCGCAGCCAGAGGACCCCGGGAGGGCCCUCGAUCCAGGGCUCGAAGAAGAUCCGGACAUUACUGUGGAGCUUGUCAACGGGACAUUUUAUCAGGCGAGCUGCGAUGGCGCCUCAGUGGCUAUUACAGGCGACUAUCCCGGACUGCUACCCGCGUCACGUGUAAGCCAACCCAAAAACCUUAUCCUCCGAAGAGGAUUCCUUUCUAAUGUCAUGCCUUGCACCUGAAGUGUCGUGUUUUUGUAGAGACGACGAUCGGAACGCGGGGCCGAGCCCCUAGGAGCUCGUCGGCAACGGGUGUCCGAAUCGGGCAGGCUAUAGAGGAAGGCAGUUAGGGCUGAAACGCCGCUACAGAGGUAAGGUAAAAACCUUUUCUGUGAUUAGUGUAUUUGAAAUGCGACAGCGCCCUUCGUGUCCUGGCAGGAAGAGGAGUAGCCGGACUAUAUCCGGGGAUCCUGCCAAUCACGCCUCUACCAGCCGGAUUCCAGAGCCGGCUUCGUUAGAGGAGGCGGACGUGGGGCCGAUGCCGCAUUUUCCUCCGACAGAGGACGCAGAGUAUGCUCUCCACCACGAAUUCUGAAGUAGAGAGCACAAUGAAUCACCGGCGCCGACGAGCCGUACUUCGCCACAACAUCUUUUCCGAAGAGGCAUUUAAUGCUUUCAAUUCGGGAGGCACGUACAUCCGAGCUGCUCAAGGUGGGCUCGCCCGAGCAACGGACCAGUAUACCAAAGAUAUACGGGUAAGAAAAUUUGAUAAACAUGUAUAGCAGUAGCCCCUGAGACUUGAAAUGGUUGGAACAACUGUUUUAAGGAUCAAUUUAUGCACAGGUCGUUGCUACCUCUUGAGCACUGCGUUGGAUUUCCCCGAAGAGGAGAGGAUGAUGCAGCAAAGUAGCGUAAGUACUUCCCUCAGUUUUUGAGAACCAAGGUAUCAAUACAGUAGGAGACCACGCACAAGUCCCUCGUACCUACACAAAACGAUAGCUACUCGCAACCAACGUGAUUAGGGGUUGUCAAUCCCUUCACGGUCACUUACAAGAGUGAGAUCUGAUAGAUAUGAUAAAUAACAUUUUUGGUAUUUUUGAUAGAUAGAUGCAAGGUAAAAAGUAAAAGGCAAAGUAAAAACAAAGCAAGUAAUAAAGCGAUAGAGAUUGAUAUGAUGAGAAUAGACCCUGGGGCCAUAGGUUUCACUAGUGGCUUCUCUCAAGAGCAUAGAUAUUCUACGGUGGGUGAACAAAUUAUUGUUGAGCAAUUGACAGAAUUGAGCAUAGUUAUGAGCAUAUCUAGGUAAUGAUCAUGUAUAUAGGCAUCACUCAUCGACCGCUAUCCAGCAUGCAUCUACUACUAUUACUCCACUCAUCGACCGCUAUCCAGCAUGCAUCUAGAGUAUUAAGUUAAAAAAAGAGUAAUGCCUUAAGCAAGAUGACAUGAUGUAGAGGGAUAAAUCCAUGCAAUAUGAUAAAAAACAUCUUGUUAUCCUCGAUGGCAACAAUACAAUAUGUGCCUUGUUGCCCCUGUUGUCACUUGGAAAGGACACCGCAAGAUUGAACCCAAAGCUAAGCACUUCUCCCAUUGCAAGAACUACCAAUCUAGUUGGCCAAACCAAAAAGGAUAAUUCGAAGAGACUUGCAAAGAUAACUCAAUUAUACAUAAAAUAAUUCAGAGAAGAUUCAAAUAUUUUCCAUAGAUAAUACUCGAUCAUAAACCCACAAUUAAUCAGUCUCAACAAACACACCGCAAAAAGAAGAAGAUUACAUCAAAUAGAUCUCCACGAGAGAGGGGGGGAACAUUGUAUUGAGAUCCAAAAAGAGAGAAGAAGCCAUAUAGCUACUAGCUAUGGACCCGAAGGUCUGAAGUAAACUACUCACACUUCAUUGGAGGGGCUAUGGUGUUUAUGUAGAAGCCCUCCGUGGUGGAUGCCCCCUCCGGUGGAGCUCCGGAACAGGCCCCAAGAUGGGAUCUCGUGGAUACAGAAGGUUGCGGCGGUGGAAUUAGGUUUUUGGCUCCUAUUUUGAUCGUUUGGGGAUACGUAGGUAUAUAUAGGAGGAAGGAGUACGUCAGUGGAGCAACAGGGGGCCCACGAGGUAGGGGAGCGCGCCCCCACCCUCGUGACCGCCUCUUUUGUUCCUUGGAGCAGGGUCCAAGUCUCCUGGAUCACAUUUGGUGAGAAAAUCACGUUCCCGAAGGUUUCAUUCCGUUUGGACUCAAUUUGAUCCGUUUCUUCGAAACACUGAAAUAGGCAAAAAAACAGCAAUUCUGGGCUGGGCCUCCGGUUAAUAGGUUAGUCCCAAAAAUAAUAUAAAAGUGUAAAAUAAAGCCCAAUAUAGUCCAAAACAGUAGAUAAAGUAGCAUGGAGCAAUAAAAAAUUAUAGAUACGUUGGAGACGUAUCAAGCAUCCCCAAGCUUAAUUCCUGCUCGUCCUCGAGUAGGUAAAUGAUAAAAAAGAAUUUUUGAUGCGGAGUGAUACUUUGGCAUAAUUUCAAUGUGAAUCUUCUUAAUUGUGAUAUGAAUAUUCACAUCUGAAAGAUUCAAGACAAAAGUUCAUAUUGACAUAAAAAUAAUAAUACUUCAAGCAUACUAAUCAAAGCAAUCAUGUCUUCUCAAAAUAACAUGGCAAAAGAAAGUUCAUUCCUAUAAAAUCAUAUAGUUAGGCUAUGCUUCAUUUUCGUCACACAAAGAUGUUCCCAACUUCUAUACCCCCGAUGACAAGCCAAGCAAUUGUUUCAUACUUAAAUAAUCUCAAACUUUUUCAACCUUCACGCAAUACAUGAGCGUGAGCCAUGGAUAUAGCACUAUGGGUGGAAUAGAAUAUGAUGAUGGGGAUUGUGUGGAGAAGACAAAAAAGGAGAAAGUCUCACAUUGACGAGGCUAAUCAACGGGCUAUGGAGAUGCCCAUCAAUUGAUGUCAACAUGAGGAGUAGGGAUUGCCAUGCAACGGAUGCACUAGAGCUAUGAAUGCUCAACAAAAGAAAACUAGUGGGUGUGCAUCCAACUCGCUUGCUCAUGAAGACCUAGGGCAUUUGAGGAAGCCCAUCGUAGGAAUAUACAAGCCAAGUUCUAUAAUGAAAAAUUCCCACUAGUAUAAAAAGGACAACUUUAUGAGACUCACUACAUGAAGAACAAGGUGCUACUUUGAAGCACAAUAUAUGAGACUCACUACAUGAAGGACAAGGUGCUACUUUGAAGCACAAUAUAUGAGACUCACUACAUGAAGGACAAGGUGCUACUUUGAAGCACAAGUGUGGAAAAAGAGAUAGUAGCAUUGCCCCUUUUUCUUUUCUUUUCUUUUCUUUUGGGCCUUUCUUUUUUUUUGGCCUUUCUUUUUUUCUUUUUUCUUUUUUUUCUUUUUGGGCAAUGCUCUAACAAUGAUGAUCAUCACACUUCUAUUGAUUACAACAUAAGGAUUACAACUCGAAACUUAGAACAAGAUAUGACUCUAUAUGAAUGCCUCAGGCAGUGUACCGGGAUGGUGCAAUGAAUCAAGAGUGACAUGUAUGAAAAAUAAUGCAUGGUGGCUUUUCCACAAAUACGAUGUCAACUACAUGAUCAUGCAAUGGCAAUAUGACAAAAGUAAUGUAUGUCAUGAUGAUGAUGAUGAUGGAAGUUGCAUGGCAAUAUAUCUCGGAAUGGCUAUGGAAAUGCCAUGAUAGGUAGGUAUGGUGGCUGUUUUGAGGAAGAUAUAAGGAGGUUUAUGUGUGAUAGAGCGUAUCAUAUCACGGGGUUUGGAUGCACCGGCGAAGUUUGCACCAACUCUCAAGGUGAGAAAGGGCAAUGCACGGUACCGAAGAGGCUAGCAAAGGCAGAAAGGUGAGAGUGCGUAUAAUCCAUGGACUCAACAUUAGUCAAAAGAACUCAUAUACUUAUUGCAAAAAUUUAGAAGUCAUCAAAAAUCAAGUACUACGUGCAUGCUCCUAGGGGGAUAGAUUGGUAGGAAAAGACCAUCGCUCGUCCCCGACCGCCACUCAUAAGGAUGCACAAGCCAGGUACACUUCAUGUUUCAAAUUUGUUACACAACUUUAACCAUACGUGCAUGCUACGGGACUUGCAGACUUCAACACAAGCAUUUCUCAAAUUCAUAAUUACUCAACUAGCACGACUUUGAUAUUAUCACCUCCAUAUCUCAAAACAAUUAUCAAGCACCAAACUUAUCUUAGUAUUCAAUUCACUCAAAAGAAAGUUUCACAUAUCUUGAAUACCAAGUAUAUUAACAUUAAGCAAAUUACCAUGCUAUUAACAACUCUCAAAAUAAUCUAAGUGAAGCAUGAGAGAUCGAUAGUUUCUUUAAAACAAAUCCACCACCAUGCUCUAAAAGAUAUAAGUGAAGUACUAUAGCAAAAAUUAUCACGCUCAAAAGAUAUAAGUGAAGCACUAUGAGCAAAACUAUCAAGCUCAAAAGAUAUAAGUGAAGCACAUAGACUAUUCAAACAAAUUCCAAUUCAUGUAUGGAUCUCUCAAAAGGUGUGUACAUCAAGGAUGAUUGUGGUAAACUAACAAGCAAAGACGCAAAUGAUACAAGAUGCUCCAAGCAAAACACAUAUCAUGUGGUGAAUAAAAAUAUAGCUCCAAGUAAAUUACCGAUGGAAGUGGACGAAAGAGGGGAUGCCUUCCGGAGCAUCCCCAAGCUUUGGCUUUUUUGUGUCCUUGGAUUAUCUUGGGGGUGCCAUGGGCAUCCCCAAGCUUAGGCUCUUGCCACUCCUUGUUCCAUAAUCCAUCAAAAGAAUUCACCCAAAACUUUAAAACUUCACAACACAAAACUCAACAGAAAUCUCGUGAGCUCCGUUAGAGAAAGAAAACAAAGAACUACUUAAGGUACUAUAAUGAACUCAUUAUUUAUUUAUAUUGGUAGUAAACCUACUGUACUCCAACUUCUCUAUGGAUUAUACAGGGAUUUGUCUUUCUUUGGUACCAUUACCAGAUUUGCGAGCCAAUCCGGAUGCUUGAUAUCUCUGAUGAAUCUAGCCUCGAGCAGUUUGGCUAGCUCUUCCCCCAUGGCUUGCCAUUUGGGCUCUGAAAAGCGCCUUAGAGUCUGCUUGACAGGCUUGUAUCCUUUUAGUAUAUUAAGGUUGUGUUCGUCCAGUCUGCGUGGGAUGCCCGACAUGUCCGAAGGGUGCCAGGCGAAAAUGUCCCAAUUCUCUCGCAGGAAGUCUCGCAGUGCGGCGCCCAUUGUGGGGUUUAACUGUGUCCCGAUGGAAGCUGUCUUCGUGGGGUCCGUUGGAUGGACCUGGAAUUUGACUAUUUCGUCUGCGGGUUUGAAUGAGGUGGACUUGGGUCGCUUGUCGAGUAUCACGUCGUCCCUGUCCACGGUGGCACGUAGCGUUGUUAGUUCUUCGGCUGCUAGGGCUUCUGAUAAAGCUUCCAGGGCUAGUGCUGCGGUUUUGUUUUCGGCGCGAAGUGCGACGUCCGGAUCACUGGCUAGAGUGAUGAUUCCGUUGGGUCCGGGCAUUUUAAGCUUCAUGUACCCGUAAUGGGGUAUGGCUUAAAAGCUUGUAAACGUGUCCCGCCCUAGAAGGGCGUGGUAUCCGCUGCUAGAAGGAUCCACUUGGAAUGUGAUUUCUUCAGACCUGUAGUUCUCCGGAGUGCCGAAUACCACAUCGAGUGUGAUUUUUCACGCACACCGUGCUUCCCGACUAGGGAUGAUUCCCCUGAAGGUUGUGCCGCUUUGCUCAAUGCGGCUCUUAUCGAUUUCCAUCUUGCCGAGUGUUUCUACAUAGAUCAAGUUUAAUCCGCUUCCGCCAUCCAUGAGUACUUUAGUGAGCCGAAGGCCGUCUACGAUUGGGCUAAGGACCAAAGCGGCUGGUGCCCGGACGAUCUAGAAUUGAGGUUCAUCACUAGCAUUGAAAGUUAUAGCAGUGUCGUCCCACGGAUUUAUUUUUGCCACAUGGCAGAUUUCAGCGGAGCUUCGAUGAGCUCGCCUGCGCUUGUUGUUUGAGGCAAAAGUCUCGAAGACUAUUAGUACUGUAAGUUUUUCUUUGGCGGGACGUUAUUCUGCUUUAUGGCUUACAAGAAGACCCUCGCCACUUUUUGCUACCUGCCGGAGUAUCCAACAUGCUCUAAGGCUAUGUGUUGGUGUAGUGUCCGGCGUGCUGUGGAGUUUACAUGGCCCGUUGAGCCAUUCCUCCAAUACGGUUCCACGCCCUGGGGUGGGCUUUGGUUUCUUGGGAGUUGAGUCGGCCGUCUUUCAAGAGUUCGUCCGUUUAGCUCGGACAAAGGUUUUAGUGAGAGCCGAAUUAUCCCAAAAUUUUGUUUGGGUUUUCCAGGCGCUUUCCAUCGCACAGUACUUUUGUACUAUGAUUGCCAAGUCCGCGAAGUGUGUUAUGUCACGGCGACUUAUAGCAUUAAGGAUUCCUUUGUUCGUGCAAUUUUUGCAAAAAAUUGAGACUGCGUCCUCCUCACGACAGUCCUUGACCUUGUUUAGUACAAGGAGGAAUCUGGCCCAGUAGCGAUGUACUGUCUCUUGGGGAUCUUGUCUGAUAUGGGAGAGAGGUUUUAAGUAGGGGUGGGUGGGUGUAGCUGAAUCUGGAUUCUAAUCCGAUCUAACGCCCUGGGGCAGGGAAGUUUCCGGGCUUGACAGCUCGGGAUCCGGAAUGCUGCCCAAUUUCUUCGGCCCAAUAACCGAUUCUAAGUCCGGGGUCUGGGCCAUGUCUUCCCUUGAGCGGGUGUCCGGCUCAGGGAGCUCGGUGAUCCGGACAUAACUCGUCCUCAAGAUAGAGGGGUAAUGCGUAUGUGGCUCCUCCACUACCGCUAUAUCGUGGGUGACCGGCGGGGAUUUAAUGUCCCUUUGGUCAGGUUUAAGCCCAAUCCGGUCAUAGUCUGUGGUGACUCCCAGAGCAGCGAUGCGAUCCAAGAGCCCGUUAAGGGAGGAGAGCUCGAUUGGAUUCAUCUGUUCGGCGAGUUCCGAAUUGACAUGGAGGCUAUGUGUGAUGACCCGAGAGGUCGUCGUCGUCGGCAUGACAGCCGAUGAGGCGGCCAUAAUGAAGCCUCCAAGUCGGAGAGUUUGGCCUACAGCUAGCGCUCCCCCGAGGUGAUGUUGUCCUUGACAACGAUACGGGCCAUCGAGCCUUGCAGCAACGACACAGAGGAACUCUCAAUGAAAGCACCAAUGUCGGUGUCAAAACCGGCGGAUCUCGGGUAGGGGGUCCCGAUCUGUGCGUCUUAGGUUGAUGGUAACAGGAGGCAAGGGACACAAUGUUUACCCAGGUUCGGGCCCUCUCGAUGGAGGUAAAACCCUACUUCCUGCUUGAUUGGUAUUGAUGAUAUGAGUAGUACAAGAGUAGAUCUACCACGAGAUCGUAGAGGCUAAACCCUAGAAGCUAGCCUAUGAUGAUUAUUAUUGUGAUCGUCCUUCUAAGGACAAACCUCUGUGGUUUAUAUAGACACCGGAGAGGGCUAGGGUUUACAUGGAGUCGGUUACAAAGAAGGAAACAUAAUAUCCGGAUCGCCAAGCUUGUCUUCCACGCAAAGGAGAGUCCCAUCCGGACACAGGAUGGAGUCUUGAGUCUUGUAUCUUCACGCUCCAAUAGUCCGGACGAAGUAUAGAGUCCGGCUGUCCGGAUACCCCCUAAGCCAGGACUCCCUCACAUAGCAUGCCCAAGAUUGCUUCCAAACUUCUGACUGCAAGGCUGAGACCGCGCAUGGGAGAGCUAGUCCAGGCGAACUAGUCCGCUUUCAUCAAGGGGCGAUGCUUGCACGAUAACUUUCUGUUAGUGAGGCAAAUGGCGCGCUCGAUGCACCGAAGGAAAGUGAAAGGUGUACUGCUCAAGCUUGACAUUACAAAAGCUUUUGACUCCUUGGCUUGGCCGUUUUUGUUUGAAGUGCUAAGAGCCAAAGGUUUCUCAGAACGUUGGAUAUCUUGGAUCGCAAUUCUUCUUACCACGACCAGCUCAAGAGUGUUGGUAAAUGGAUGCGCUGGCGAGAAGUUCAUGCACGCUAAAGGAUUGAGGCAAGGGGACUCGAUUUCCCCUUUGCUUUUUGUUAUUGCCAUGGAUGUCCUUACGGAAAUUAUCAUCAAGGCGCAUGAGGCUCGAGUGAUGAGCACGAUCAAUGGAUGUAGCCCAAUGCAGCGCUUGUCUUUGUACGCCGAUGAUGUAGUACUAUUCAUCAAACCAACAUGGCCAGAUCUCCUGUUCGUUAAUGAAACUCUCACAAUCUUCAGAGCGGCAUUGGGGCUUAAAGUAAACUUUACCAAAUCAGCGACAAUUAUGAUCCGAGCUGAGACAGAGGAUGAAGAGCUCGUCAAGUCGGUGCUACCAUGGAAGAUCACCACCUUUCCAUGCAAAUACCCAGGCCACCAGUUAAGCAUCAAACAACUCAAGAGAUCCGAGUGGCAGCCGAUUGUGGAUGCGGCCCUACACAUAUUGCCAAGAUGGCAAAGGGGCUUGGUGACUAGACCUGGGAGGCUUAUCCUCCUCAACCAAGUCAUGAGGGCGCGGGCCACACAUCAUCUUAUGGUAGCGGAGGCGCCAAAAUGGGCUCUGGAAAGAGAGGACACAGGUUGCCGGGCUUUUUUCAGGGCCGUGACGGAGGAAGUGAAUGGCGGCAAGUGUGUGGUAUCCUGGGCAAGGGUAUGCAGGCCAAAACACUUGGGCGGCUUGGGUGUAAUUGACUUAUCUAAGCACGACAUUGCUCUAAGAUUACGAUGGGAGUGGCUUAGACGCAUUGAUGCUUCCAGGCCUUGGCAAGGGCUCAACUUGAUCGUGGACAAAAAGGUUGCCCAAGCUUUUGGGAGCCUGGUUAAAUGGAAGGUUGGAGCGGGAGACAAAAUUUUGUUUUGGAAAGAUCAGUGGCUCCAUGGUGCAACCAUCACAGAUCUAGCCCCCUUGGUUGUGGCGACAGUCCGUAUGAAGGUGGCCAAUAGGAGACUGGUAUGUGAUGCAAUGUGCAUGCAUGCUUGGAUGAACGACGUCGUGGGUGACCUAUGCACGGAGGGUCUAACCAAGUUCAUCGAACUUUGGGAGGUCAUAUCGGAGGUUAAAUUGGAUGCUCAAACUGAGGAUAACCCCAUUUGGGCUUGGAAUGUGACAGGAGUCUACACCGCAUCAUCCGCAUACAAGAUGCUUUGUGAGGGAGGAGUGAGAUUUCACUCUUUCGGAGCAAUCUGGAAAUGUUGGGCGCCACUUGCGCGUAAAAUCUUCAUGUGGUUGGCUGUGCAAUAUCAAUUGUGGACGUCGGAUAGAAGGGAUAGACACGGUUGGCAAGACCAAACGCCCAAAUGCAACUUCUGUGACCAAGAGGAAGACACGGUUGACCACAUCUUGCAGCAAUGUGUGUUCUCGAGGCAAGUGUAGUACAAUUGCAUGACCAGAAUGGGGUUGAGGGUGGAGCUUUGCCCAACAUAUGAAUCUCGAUUGGUGCAAUGGUGGACGGAAGCUAGAAAACGCAUACAUAAGCAAAUUCGGAAAGGAUUUGACACAUUCAUGAUGCUCAUCUGCUGGACACUUUGGAAAUAGAGGAACGCGAGAGUGUUCGGAUCGAGCCAAAUCAAGAAUGAAUGGGAGACUGUGGACUUGAUCUUCGAUGAUUUGAGGACUUGGGCUACGGCAGGAGCAUUUUGAGGACGACCUAUAUCUGAGUAGUGGAGUAGCAUAAGGAGUGGGGUGGAGGCUUGGUUGCGGUCGGCUUGUGACUACCAACUAGCGCAAUUGUAAAACUCUUGUACAUAUUUUCUCCCUUCUUAAAGCUAAGGUACGCCUUUGGCGUACCCUCGAAAAAAAGUGCCCCUCCAUGAUGCAGGCAACCAAACAGGUUGCAUCUGCUACAUAUGAGGCUGCAUUUGAAGAACCAGGCUGGCUGGAGAUGUGUAUGCAACGCUGUUAGGUUGAUCUCUCUCCCGUUCGAGCCCAACAGGUCGAACGGGCCCUUGCAUCGUGCCCUGAUCGGGGGCGCCCAACCAAACCAUGGUUGGUGGGCCCCUGUGACCAACUCUAUAUAAACAUAGGUAGGGGCCAGGGCACGACUGACGAGGUUAAUCGCUGCCACAAACCCCACCAACACUCCCUACUGAUCUAGGGUUAGCGCGGUGCUCACUGGAAGCACACCACCACUGCCAUCUUCCUGUCAUCGCCGCCAUCACCACCUCACACUACUAGGGAAAACCCUAGUAGUAGCGCGGGUUUUGAGGCUAGCAGCAGCGCGGGUGGCCGCGCUACUAAUAAGGCGCUACAGCUAACUUAUAGUAGUAGCGCGGUCCGCACCCGCGCUACUACUGUUGACGAUAUCAGCAGCGCUUUUGCGGAAUGCGCUACUAUUAGUUAGCUGUAGCAAUUUCGUUGUCCCUCACUACUGCUAUAUCUUUCAUCAUUUUCCCAUUGUACCCCUUUCCCUUUCAGAUACUAGGUACUACUAGAUAUCAAAUUCAUAAACCAUUAAAAGUACUAGGUAGUACUCCCUUCGUUCCAAAUUACUCAUCGUGGUUUUAGUUCAAACCACGAUGAGUAAUUUGGAACGAAGGGAGUACUAGAUAACAAUUUCAUGCAUAGUCAACAUGCAUCCUCAAGUAGUACAAGGUCAUAUCGACGGCGAUCAUCAUAUGUAGUUCAAGACGAUAUCGACGACGAUCAUCAUAUGUAGUUCUAGAUGAUAUAGCCACACACACACAUAUGUUGUGAUGGAUCCCCUUGUAGUAAGGCGUAGUCCAGCUGAGCCUUCUUCAUCAGGCUCGAUACCAUAACUCACAGAUAGGCUCUUUGCCAAUUUCUGAAUAAGAAAAACAUAUCAAUUAAUAAAUAGCCUCGCACAUACUCUUGCAAAUAAGUAUAUAUGGAUUAUCUGCACUAUUAAUAGUUCCUUAGACUCUACACUAAUAAGCAUGUGAUCGAACUCUACACUAAAACAUAUCAUCGACUAGAUUCCACAUAACAUACCAUAUCAUUGGACUGUACACUAAGUAUUUCAUCGGAUAAUUUGCAUUUGUAAGUAUAACAUACCAUAUCACGUCGAUCAACCAUGGUACUUAUCAGGCGGGUCACUGAUAACCCACAAGUGUAGGGGAUCGCAACAGCUUUCGAGGGUAAAGUAUUCAACCCAAAUUUAUUGAUUCGACACAAGGGGAGCCAAAGAAUAUUCUUGAGUAUUAGCAGUUGAGUUGUCAAUUCAACCACACCUGGAUAACUUAGUAUCUGCAGCAAAGUAUUUAGUAGCAAAAGUAGUAUGAUAAUAAAAGUAACGGUAGCAAAAGUAAUGUUUUUGGGUUUUGUAGUAGUUGUAACAAUAGCAACGGAAAAGUAAAUAAGCGUAGAACAAUAUGUGAAAAGCUCGUAGGCAAUGGAUCAGUGAUGGAUAAAUAUGCCGGAUGCGAUUCCUCAUGUAAUAGCUAUAACAUAGGGUGACACGGAACUAGCUCCAUUUCAUCAAUGUAAUGUAGGCAUGUAUUCCGUAAAUAGUCAUACGUGCUUAUGGAAAAGAACUUGCAUGACAUCUUUUGUCCUACCCUCCCGUGGCAGCGGGGUCCUAGCGGAAACUAAGGGAUAUUAAGGCCUCCUUUUAAUAGAGAACCGGAACAAAGCAUUAGCACAUAGUGAAAACAUGAACUCCUCAAACUACGGUCAUCACCGAGAAGUAUCCCGAUUAUUGUCACUUCGGGGUUGUCGGAUCAUAACACUUAAUAGGUGACUAUAGACUUGCAAGAUAGGAUCAAGAACACAUAUAUAUUCAUGAAAACAUAAUAGGUUCAGAUCUGAAAUCAUGGCAUUCGGGCCCUGGUGACAAGCAUUAAGCAUAGCAAAGUCAUAGCAACAUCAAUCUCGGAACAUAGUGGAUACUAGGGAUCAAACCCUAACAAAACUAACUUGAUUACAUGGUAAAUCUCAUCCAACCCAUCACCGUCCAGCAAGCCAACGAUGGAAUUACUCACGCACGGCGGUGAGCAUCAUGAAAUUGGUGAUGGAGGAUGGUUAAUGAUAACGACGGCGACGAAUCCCCCUCUCCGAAGCCCCGAACGGACUCCAGAUCAGCCCUCCUGAGAGAUAUUAGGGCUUGGCGCCAGCUCCAUGUCGUAAAACGCGAUGAAACUUUCUCUCUGAUUUUUUUCUCCCCGAACGUGAAUAUAUGGAGUUGGAGUUGAGGUCGGUGGAGGUCCAGGGGGCCCACGAGAUAGGGGGGCGCGCCCAGGAGGAGGGAGCGCGCCCCCCUGUCUCGUGGACAGGGUGUGGGCCCCCUGGUCUUGAUUCUUUCGCCAAUAUUUUUUACAUUUUCUGAAAAGUGCCUCUGUGGAUUUUCAGGACAUUCCGAGAACUUUUAUUUUCUACACAUAAAACAACAUCAUGGCAGUUCUGCUGAAAACAGCGUUAGUCCGGGUUAGUUUCAUUCAAAUCAUGCAAGUUAGAGUCCAAAACAAGGGCAAAAGUGUUUGGAAAAGUAGAUACGUUGGAGGCGUAUAAACUCCCCCAAGCUUAAACCUUUGCUUGUCCUCAAGCAAUUCAGUUUAUAAACUGAAAGUGAUAAGAAAAACUUUUACAAACUCUGUUUGCUCUUGUUGUUGUAAACAUGCAAAGCCAGCAUUCAGGUUUCAGCAAAUAUUAUGAACUAACCAUACUCACAAUAACACUUAGGUCUCACAAUUACUCAUAUCAAUAGCAUAAUUAGCUAGCGAGCCAUAAUAAUAAAACUUAGAUGACAACACUUUCUCAAAACAAUCAUAACAUGAUAUAACAAGAUGGUAUCUCGCUAGCCCUUUCUAAGACCGCAAAACAUAAAUGCAGAGCACCUUUAAAGAUCAAGGACUGACUAAACAUUGUAAUUCAUGGUAAAAGAGAUCCAGUCAAGUCAUACCCAAUAUAAAUCAAUAGUAAUGAAUGCAAAUGACAGUGUGCUCUCCAGUGGGUGCUUUUUAAUAAGAAGGGUGAUGACUCAACAUAAAAGUAAAUAGAUAGGCCCUUCGCAGAGGGAAGCAGGGAUUUGUAGAGGUGCCAGAGAUCGAUUUUAAAAUAGAGAUUGAAUAAUAUUUUGAGCGGCAUACUUUUGCUGUCAACGCAACAACUAUGAGAUGGCUGUAUCUUCCAUACUACAUGCAUUAUAGGCAGUUCCCAAACAGAAUGGUAAAGGUUUAUACUCCCCCAACCACCAACAAGCAUCAAUCCAUGGCUUGCUCGAAACAACGAGUGCCUCCAACUAACAACAGCCCUGGGGGAGUUUUGUUUGAUUAUUUUGAUUUGCUUUGAUCUUUUUGGAUCAUGGGACUGGGCAUCCCAGUUACCGGCCCUUUCUCGUGAAUGAGGAGCGGAAUCCACUCCUCUUGAGAACAACCCACCUAGCAUGGAAGAUAUAGGCAGCCCUAGUUCUAACAUGAGUUGCUCGAUCAUACAAGACAAAAUUUCAUUUGAAGGUUUAGAGUUUGGCACAUACAAAUUUACUUGGAAUGGCAGGUAAAUACCGCAUAUAGGAAGGUAUAGUGGACUCAUAUGGAACAACUUUGGGGUUUAAGGAGUUUGGAUGCACAAGCAGUAUUCCCGCUUAGUACAGGUGAAGGCUAGCAAAAGACUGGGAAGCGACCAACUGAGAGAGCGACAACAGUCAUAAACAUGCAUUAAAAUUAAUUCACACCGAAUACAAGCAUGAGUAGGGUAUAAUCCACCAUGAACAUAAAUAUCAUGAAGGCUAUGUUGAUUUGAUUCAACUACAUGUGUGAACAUGUGCCAAGUUGAGUCACUCAAUUCAUUCAAAGGAGGAUACCAUCCCAUCAUACCACAUCAUAAUCAUUCUAAUAGCAUGUUGGCACACAAGGUAAACCAUUAUAACUCAUAGCUAAUCAAGCAUGGCACAAGCAACUAUAGUCUCUAAAUGUCAUUGCAAAUAUGUUUACUUCAUAAUAAGCUGAAUCAGAAACGAUGAACUCAUCAUACUUACAAAAACAAGAGAGGUCGGGUUCAUACCAGCUUUUCUCAUCUCAAUAAGUCCAUCAUAUAUCAUCAUUAUUGCCUUUCACUUGCACGACCGAACGAUGUGUAUAAUAAUAAGAGUGCGCGUGCAUUGGACUAAGCUGGAAUCUGCAAGCAUUCAACUCAAUAGAGAAGACAAGGUAAUAUGGGCUCUAAAUUAAAUGAACAAUCAUGCAUAUGAGAGCCACUAAGCAUUUUCAAUAUGGUCUUCUCGACCCCCAAAGGAAAGAAAAGAAAAUAAAACUAUUUACACGGGAAAGCUCCCAACAAGUAAGAAGAAGAACAAGAAAUCUUUUUGGGUUUUCAUUUUAAUUUCUACUACAAGCAUGGAAAUUAAACUAACUAAAUUUUUUUGGUUUUUCUUAAGAUUUAUCAAACACACAAGAAGAAAACUAGAAAAAGAAAUUUAAACUAGCAUGGAUAAUACAAUGAAAGAGUAUGAGCACCAACGACUAGUGUGUGAACAUGAAUGUAAAGUCGGUGAGAAAUACGUACUCCCCCAAGCUUAGGCUUUUGGCCUAAGUUGGUCUAGUACCAAGGACCGCCCGGCUGAUAUCCGUAAGUGAAACUGGGGUCGUACUAAGAUGCAGCGGCAACCGCCUCCAGAGCUGCAGCGUGUUGGCGAGCUGCCUCCGCUCUCCCCUCGUGUUCAGCUGCUUCCUCCCUGGUGACAACAUAUCUUCCUUUUGCCUGAUAAUCAAAAAGGUAGGGAGCAGGAAGAGUAACAUGGACGACGUUGCGUCUGUCAUAGAUUAGUCGAUAUUGGAGGAAUUGUUCGUUCCUCCCAAGAAAUUGAUGAUUGACCAUAGCUUCAGAAUCCAAAUAAACAGGAGGUAACAUCAUAUCACCCUCUCGUGGGGCUAUACCAAGAUAAUUAGCCACAUGGGUUGCAUAAAUUCCUCCAAAUAAAUUUCCCUUUCUACUAUUAUUCUGCAACCUACGUGCAACUAUUGCCCCCAAGUUAUAACCUUUAUAACCUAACACAGCACUCUUGAGGACACACAGAUCAGGGACACACAUGUGGCAUGCUUCAUCUUUAUCGUUAAUGCAUCUACCAAUGAAGAGAGCAAAAUAAUGUAUAGCAGGAAAAUGAAUGCUCCCUAUGGUAGCUUGUGCUAUGCCCCUAGAUUCUCCCACAGUAAUACUAGCAAGGAAAUCUUGAAAUUCAGAUUUGUGAGGAUCAUUAAUAUUACCCCACUGCGGAAGUUUGCAAGCAGUUGUAAAAUCCUCUCAGUCCAUGGUAUAAGAUGUAUCAUAAAUAUCAAAUAUGACACUAGGAGAAUUACGCGUGCAGUUAUAUUUAAACCUCUGAACAAAGGAAUCGGUCAAUUGAUAGUACGGAGGACACUUAUCUUGUAAGAAGUCCUCCAACUCAGCAUUACGCACAUAUGCGUCAAAUUCCUCCUUGAAGCCUGCUUUGACCAUAAAAUCAUCGGAUGGCCACUCACAAGCUCGUACAUCCGCGUCCCUCGGCAAUUCAACAUCUUGCUCACGUAUAGCAAUCCUGGGCCCUUUCUUCACCGAGGAACCACCUUGGUACCUUCUUCUAAGCAUAAUUCUUUUUCUGAAAUAUUUCUGAAAUUUUAGUAACUUCAAAAUAAAAGUGAAUAAAGCUAAACAAGAUUGAUAGCAACUACUCCUACAAGUGCCUAGAGCCUAUAUCAUGCAUUAGAAUUGCUUGGGGCCUCAUAAAUUCAACAUGCAAGCUCAAGAACAUGGUCACCUAUGCAGGAAAAAUUUGCAAUGAAUAAAGCACUAGAACAAAAACUAAUUGGACCAAUGGAGGAGUCACAUACCAAGCAACAAUCUCCCAAAGCAUUUUUGUGAAUGGAGCUUUGAGCUAGGAGAUCGAAAAUUGCAGCAAAAUGAGCUAGAACUCGUGCUUGAGCUAAAUGGGGAUUUUUUGGGUAGAAGAUGAAGUGUGUGGGUGCUGGCAUAAGUGGAGGGAGGCCACCAGGGGCCCACGAGAUAGGGGGGCGCGCCCAGGUGGGGUUGGCGCGCUCUCCACUCUCGUGGCCUGGUGCUUGCCCGUCCUGUAGUGAUUUCGGUGCCUAAAAUCCUCAAAUAAUCCAUAAAAAUCAUACUAAAUUUGCAGGGCAUUUGGAGCACUUUUAUUUUCGGGAUAUUUUUUAAUGCACGGAUAAUUCAGAAAACAUACAGAUAAUACUAUUUUUGCUUUAUUUAUUCUAAAUAACAGAAAGUAAAGAGAGGGUACAAAAGGUUGUGCCUUCUAGUUUCAUCCAUCUCGUGAUCAUCAAAAUGAAUCCACUAACAAGGUUGAUCAAGUCUUGUUAACAAACUCAUUCCGAAUAACACGGAACCGGAGAAAUUUCGAAUAACACUAAGUUACCUCAAGGGGGAUAUGAAAAUCCCUAACAAUAAGAAUAUCAUACUUUUUCUUGACAGCAGGGAGAGGAAAUUCAAAACCUCCAAUAAUAAUACUUGGAACUUUUCCAAUAGAAUUGAUACUAUGAACUUGAGAUUGUUUCCUCGGAAAGUGUACCGUAUGCUCAUUACCAUUAACAUGAAAAGUGACAUUGCCUUUGUUGCAAUCAAUAACAGCCCCUGCAGUAUUAAGAAAAGGUCUACCAAGGAUAAUCGACAUACUAUCGUCCUCGGGAAUAUCAAGAAUAACAAAGUCCGUUAAGAUAGCGACGUUUGCAACCACAACAGGCACAUCCUCACAAAUACCGACAGGUAUAGCAGUUGAUUUAUCUUCCAUUUGCAAAGAUAUUUUAGUAGGAGUCAACUUAUUCAACUCAAGUCUACGAUAUAAAGAGAGAGGCAUAACACUAACACCGGCUCCAAGAUCACAUAAAGCAGUUCUAACAUAAUUUCUUUUAAUGGAGCAUGGUAUAGUUGGUACCCCGGGAUCUCCAAGUUUCUUUUGUAUUCCACCCUUAAAAGUGUAAUUAGCAAGCAUGGUGGAAAUUUCAGCUUCCGGUAUCUUUCUUUUGUUUGUAAUGAUAUCCUUCAUAUACUUAGCAUAAGGAUUUACUUUCAGCAUAUCAGUUAAACGCAUACGUAAGAAAAUAGGUCUAAUCAUUUCAGCAAAGCGCUCAAAAUCCUCAUCAUCCUUUGUCUUGGAUGGUUUAGGAGGAAAGGGCAUGGGUUUCUGAACCCAUGGUUCUCUUUCUCUAUCGUGCUUCCUAGCAACAAAAUCUCUAUUAUCAUAACGUUGAUUAUUUGAUUGUGGGUUAUCAAGAUCAACAGCAGGUUCAAUCUCUACUUCAUUGUUUUUGCUAGGUUGAGCAUCAACAUGAACAUUAUCAUUAACAUUAUCACUAGGUUCAUGUUCAUCACCUGAUUGUGUUUCAGCAUCAGAGAUAGAAAUAUCAUUGGGAUUCUCAGGCGUGUCUACAGUAAGUUCACUAGAAGCAUGCAAAGUCCUAUCGUUUUCUUUUUCUUCUUUUUCGAAGAACUAGGUGCCUCUAAAUUAUUUCUCUGAGAAUCCUACUCGAUUCUCUUAGGGUGGCCUUCAGGAUACAAAGGUUCUUGAGUCAUUCUACCAGUUCUAGUAUCCACUCUAACAGCAAAGCCAUUUUUAUUACUUAAUUCAUCAAGCAAAUCAUUUUGAGCUUUAAGUACUUGCUCAGCUUGGGUAGCAACCAUAGAAGUAUAUUUGCUAAUGAGUUUGAGUUCACCUUUAACUCUAGCCAUAUUAUCGCUCACGUGUCGUAUCUCAAAAACAUUAUUCUUUAACUCUCUACCAACAUAAGCAUUAAAACUUUCUUGUCUAGCCAUAAAGUCAUCAAAUUCAUCUAAGCAUGGGCUAUGAAAUUUAGUAGAGGGGAUUUCAACUUUAUCAUAUCUAUAGAGAGAAUUUACCUUUACUACCUGUGUCGGGUUAUCAAGACAAUGUGGUUCUUCAACAGGCGGUAUAUUAAGACCACGUAUUUCUUCAAUAGGAGGUAAAUUCUUAACAUCUUCAGCUUUAAUACCUUUUUCUUUCAUUGAUUUCUUUGCCUCUUGCAUAUCUUCAGGACUGAGAAAUAAAACACCUCUCUUCUUCGGAGUGGGUUUAGGAAUAGGCUCAGGAGAUGGCUUAAUUGUUUCAGGAAUUGCCUCAGGAAUUGGCUCAGGAAGAGUCCAAUUAUUUUCAUUAGUCAACAUAUUAUUCAAUAGUAAUUCAGCUUCAUCGACUGUUCUUUCCUUGAAAACACAACCAUCACAAUUAUCCAAGUAGUCCUUGGAAGCAUCGGUUAGUCCAUUAUAAAAGAUAUCAAGUAUUCCAUUUUUCUUGAGAGGAUGAUCAGGCAAAGCAUUAAGUAACCGGAGAAGCCUCCCCCAAGCUUGUGGGAGACUCUCUUCUUUGAUUUUUCACAAAAUUAUAUAUUUCCCGCAAGGCAGCUUGUUUCUUAUGAGCAGGGAAAUAUUUAGCAGAGAAGUAAUAAAGUAUAUCCUGGGGACUACGCACACAACCAGGAGCAAGAGAAUUAUACCAAGUCUUAGCAUCACCCUUUAAUGAGAACGGAAAUAUCUUAAGGAUAUAAAAAUAGCGAGACUUCUCAUCAUGAGUAAACAGGGUGGCUAUGUCAUUCAACUUGGUAAGAUGUGCCACAACAGUUUCAGAUUCAAGGCCAUAAAAAGGAUCAGAUUCAACUAAAGUAAUAAUCUCAGGAUCAACAGAGAAUUCAUAAUCCUUAUCAGUAACACAGAUAGGUGAAGUAGCAAAAGUAGGGUCAGGUUUCAUUCUAGCAUUGAGACUGCUACUUCCAUUUAGCUAAUAGUUUCUUAAGAUCAUAUCUAUUAUUGCAAGCAAAUAUAGCUCUAGAAGCUUCUUCAUUCAUAACAUAACCCUCAGGAACAACAGGUAAUUCAUAAUCAUUAGGAGAAUUUUCAUCAUCACUAUCAUCAAUAAUAGCAUCUUCAACAAUUUCAUUCCCCCUAACUCUAGCAAGUUGUUCAUCAGGAAAUUCACCUAAUGGCAAAGUAGUAUCACGCGCAGAAGUAGUUUCAUCAUGCAUAGCAGAAGUGGAAUCAUCAAUAACAUGCGACAUAUAAGAAUUCAUAGCAGUAGCAGGUUUAGGUGUCGCAAGCUUACUAAUAACAGAAGGAGAAUCUAGUGCAGAGCUAGAUGGCAGUUCCUUACCUCCCCUCGUAGUUGAGGGCAAAAUCUUGGUUCUGUCAGUUCUUCAUAAUGAUCAACAGAUAUAAAUCCCAAGUGACUCAGAGAAUAGAGCUAUGCUCCCCGGCAAUGGCGCCAGAAAUUAGUCUUGAUAACCCACAAGUGUAGGGGAUCGCAACAGCUUUCGAGGGUAAAGUAUUCAACCCAAAUUUAUUGAUUCGACACAAGGAGAGCCAAAGAAUAUUCUUGAGUAUUAGCAGUUGAGUUGUCAAUUCAACCACACCUGAAUAACUUAGUAUCUACAGCAAAGUAUUUAGUAGUAAAAGUAGUAUGAUAAUAAAAGUAACGGUAGCAAAAGUAAUGUUUUUGGGUUUUGUAGUAGUUGUAACAGUAGCAACGGAAAAGUAAAUAAGCGUAGAACAAUAUGUGAAAAGCUCGUAGGCAUUGGAUCAGUGAUGGAUAAUUAUGCCGAAUGGGAUUCCUCAUGUAAUAGCUAUAACAUAGGGUGACACAGAACUAGCUCCAGUUCAUCAAUGUAAUGUAGGCAUGUAUUCCGUAAAUAGUCAUACGUGCUUAUGAAAAAGAACUUGCAUGACAUCUUUUGUCCUAUCCUCCCGUGGUAGCGGGGUCCUAGCGGAAACUAACGGAUAUUAAGGCCUCCUUUUAAUAGAGAACCGGAACAAAGCAUUAGCAUAUAGUGAAAACAUGAACUCCUAAAACUACGGUCAUCACCGAGAAGUAUCCCGAUUAUUGUUACUUCGGGGUUGUCGGAUCAUAACACAUAAUAGGUGACUAUAGACUUGCAAGAUAGGAUCAAGAACACAUAUAUAUUCAUGAAAACAUAAUAGGUUCAGAUCUGAAAUCAUGGCACUCGGGCCCUAGUGACAAGCAUUAAGCAUAGCAAAGUCAUAGCAACAUCAAUCUCAGAACAUAGUGGAUACUAGGGAUCAAACCCUAACAAAACUAACUUGAAUACAUGGUAAAUCUCAUCCAACCCAUCACCGUCCAGCAAGCCUACGAUGGAAUUACUCACGCACGGCGGUGAGCAUCAUGAAAUUGGUGAUGGAGGAUGGUUGAUGAUAACGACAGCAACGAAUCCCCCUCUCCGAAGCCCCGAACGGACUCUAGAUCAGCCCUCCCGAGAGAUAUUAGGGCUUGGCGGCAGCUCCGUGUCGUAAAACGCGAUGAAACUUUCUCUCUGAUUUUUUUCUCCCCGAACGUGAAUAUAUGGAGUUGGAGUUGAGGUCGGUGGAGGUCCAGGGGGCCCACGAGAUAGGGGGGCGCGCCCAGGAGGAGGGAGCGCGCCCCCCUGUCUCGUGGGCAGGGUGUGCGGCCCCUGGUCUUGAUUCUUUCGCAAAUAUUUUUUAUAUUUUCCAAAAAGUGCCUCGUGGAUUUUCAGGACAUUCCGAGAACUUUUCUUUUCUACACAUAAAACAACAUCAUGGCAGUUCUGCUGAAAACAGCGUCAGUCUGGGUUAGUUUCAUUCAAAUCAUGCAAGUUAGAGUCCAAAAGAAGGGCAAAAGUGUUUGGAAAAGUGGAUAGGUUGGAGACGUGUCAGUCACGAAUGGCACCCCAACAAAGUCAGCACGUGGCGGAAUUAUGUCCCACAGGUUGGACACCUCCUCCUCGCUCAGCCUCAUUCUUUGAGCUACGAUGGCUUCAUGAAGUGGGUCCUCAUCAUCUUCAUCGAGUGGUUCCUCAUUAUAUUCAUCAUCUUCAUCAUCUUCGUCAUCUUCAUCAUCUUCCACCAGGUUGAGAUAAAUGACAGCCAGCUUGGGUCUUUCUGCUUUGAAGGAGAAGCUGAUCAACUCACCAUCAGUAAGACGCAUGCGGGCGAGGAAACGGGCCCAUCCAUCUCCUCCAAUCUGCAACAUAUUGCGUCCUUUCUCGACCCCCAUAGUGUACGCCCCCCAGGAGCCUCAAAUGUCAUAGUGUCUCCUGUCAGCUUGUUGAAUUUCAACCUCACAUUGCAUGGGACGAUAUGUGUAAAAUAAGCAAAAUGGCACAAUGCAGUAAUGCCAACACUAAAAAUAAAAUAGUUGUUACAUUUCAUCUAAUUUCUUACCGCCGCAUGAUGAAAACUCGACUGGAAGUAGAUGCCAAACAGCUUGCCAGUUGCAAGGCUGCUGGCGCACCUUGACUUGCACAGUCGACAUAGUGGUGGUGGUGGUGGCGUGAUACGUCUCCAACGUAUCUAUAAUUUUUGAUUGUUCCAUGCUAUUAUAUUACCUCUUUUGGAUGUUUAUGGGCUUUAUUUUACACAUUUAUAUCAUUUUUGGGACUAACCUACUAACCGGAGGCCCAACCCAUAUUGUUGUUUUUUUUGCCUAUUUCAGUAUUUCGAAGAAAAGGAAUAUCAAACGGAGUCCAAACGGAAUGAAACCUUUGGGAUCUUUAUUUUUGAAACAAAUCUGAUCUGGAGAGCUUGGGGUGCAAGUCAAGAAGCCUCCGAGGGCCCCACGAGAUAGGAGGGCGCGCCCCCUUGUAGGGCGCCCCCCUGUAGGGCGCGCCCCCUGUCUCAUGGGCCCCUCGGGCGGCCACCGACGUACUUCUUCCUCCUAUAUAUACCUACGUACCCCGAAACAUCCAGGAGCACCACGAAACACAAUUUCCAUCGCCGUAACCUUAUGUAUCCGCAAGAUCCCAUCUUGGAGCCCUUGCCGGCACUCUGCCGGAGGGGGAAGCAACCAUGGAGGGCCUCUACAUCAACAUCCUUGCCCCUCCGAUGAGUUGUGAGUAGUUUACCACAGACCUACGGGUCCAUAGUCAUUAGCUAGAUGGCUUCUUCUCUCUUUUUGGAUCUCAAUACAAUGUUCUCCCCCUCUCUUGUGGAGAUCUAUUCGAUGUAAUCUCUUUUUGUGGUGUGUUUGUCGAGAUCCGAUGAAUUGUGGGUUUAUGAUCAAGUUUAUCUAUGAAUAAUAUUUGAAUCUUCUCUGAAUUCUUUUAUGUAUGAUUGAAUUAUCUUUGCAAGUCUCUUCGAAUUAUCAGUUUGGUUUGGCCUACUAGAUUGGUCUUUCUUGCCAUGGGAGAAGUGCUUAGCUUUGGUUUCAAUCUUGCGGUGUUCUUACCCAGUGACAGAAAGGGUUGCAAGACAUGUAUUGUAUUGUUGCCAUCGAGGAUAACAAGAUGGGGUUUAUAUCAUAUUGCAUGUGUUUAUCCCUCUACAUCAUGUCAUCUUGCUUAAUGUGUUACUCUGUUCUUAUGAACUUAAUACUCUAGAUGCAGGCAGGAGUCGGUCGAUGUGUGGAGUAAUAGUAGUAGAUGCAGGCAGGAGUCGGUCUACUUGUUAUGGACGUGAUGGCUAUAUACAUGAUCAUGCCUAGAUAAUCUCAUAACUAUGCGCUUUUCUAUCAAUUGCUCGACAGUAAUUUGUUCACCCACCGAUACUUAUGCUAUCUUGAAAGAAGCCUCUAGUGAAACCUAUGGCCCCCGGGUCUAUCUCUUAUCAUAUUUGCUUUCCAUCUACCUUUAUUUGCAUCUUUACUUUUUGCAUCUAUAUCCUAAAAUACCAAAAAUAUAUUUAUCUUAUCAUAUUAUCUUUAUUAGAUCUCACUUCCGCAAGUGGCCGUGAAGGGAUUGACAACCCCUUUAUUGCGUUGGUUGCGAGUUCUCAAUUUGUUUGUGUAGGUGCGUGGGACUUUUGAGGAGCCUCCUACUGGAUUGAUACCUUGGUUCUCAAAACUGAGGGAAAUACUUACGCUACACUUUGCUGCAUCACCCUCUCCUCUUCGAGGAAAACCAACGCAAGCUCAAGACGUAGCAUGGCGCCAUUUUUCCUAAAGCAAUAUGAGCAAAGGAUUAACGAUCCACUUCACAGGAAAGAAAAACAGUAGCAUGUGAUAUUUUUGGUUCUUCCGCGAGAAGCAAUCUGAUGGACAUAUAUAAUUCUAAGAUCUAGUAACAUAUUAGAUGACAAGGUACCACCUACAUUUUGCCAAAAAAUAACUUAUUACAAAAAAACAAAAGCAUCUACCUAUCCAUGUACAGAAAAAAUAACAAUAAAAUGGAUCAUACUAAAUCAACUAGCCUACUAAAUCAACUAAAUCAAAAUGUUCUUAAUCAACUAAAUCAACUAGCCUACUAAAUCAACUAAAUCAUAUCAACUAAAUCAAAAUGUUGCAUAUGAACUAGCCUACUAAAUCAAAAUGUAGCAGGGAGGAGGGAGAAGGAGGGGUGACUCGAGGAGGGAGAAGAGAGUAGGACGAAGGAGGAAGGUGGAGCGAGGAGGGGUCGGCCGACGGCCAGUGGAGGGAGGACGGAGGAGGAAGGCGGAGCGAGGAGGGGCCGGCCAGUGGCCAGUGGAUGGAGGAUGGAGGAGGAGGCCGGUACUGAGUCCAGCAAGGAGGAGGAGGUGGCGGCGGCACAGAGGGAGGAGGGGCAACGGGGGAGGACCGGCGCGGGGGGUUGAGGGGGAGAUCCAGUGAGUGUGUGAGUGUGAGUGGAUCGGAUAGAGGAGAGGAGGGUGGGAGAUGGAAUGGCUUAGAAGUAGCGCGCUAUAGAGAAAGGCUCUACUGCUAAACUACCUAGCAGUAGCGCCUUUCACAAAGAGAGCACUACUGCUAUGUGUCAGCAUGUAAAAAUAGACUUCAAAAAUACAUUGAUCAUCAACGAUCUUUUUGUGUACAAUCUGAUUUGUCAAUAUGAGUCCUCAUCGGUUUAGGAACCGGUGAAGACUCAUAUUGCGGCCACAAAUUCUACACAUAGAGUUCAAUGAAGACCAAGUGCUUGUCAAAGUUUGAGAAGUAACAUAUUUAAGGUGGUAGAAACUCCCUUCACGGAGCGAGGUGGGACUAAAAUUUUGUAGUAAACUUAGCAGUAGCGCUUAUUGGUGAAAUGCGCUGCAACUAUGAUCCGUGGCAGUAGCGCUCUUCGUGAUAACGCGUUGCUGCUAGAACUAGCCACGCGGCGGCCUCGUGCGAAUUAUAGCAGUAGUGCUUCUUAGAGCGGGUGCGCUAUUGCUAUAUUUAUUUCAGCAGCGAGUUAUGUCUGUGCGCGCUACUGCUACGUAGCAGCAACGCCUUAUUUUAAAGUGCGCUGCUGGUAAGAUUCUGUGUAUAGGCUUUUCCCUAGUAGUGUCACCACGAUGGCCUCCGGCUCGAGAUUGUCCGGAUAGGCAGAAGGUAGGGCUACCGGAGUCUCUAGCCUACCCCGAUACAGAGGAUCUAACAAUGGUUUCAGAGCCAUAAAGGCUAAGAUCUUUGGUAGAAAAGGCUAUACAGCAAAAGAAAAGUCCGUCCCCCCGUGCCCUAAAAGAACAAGAGGGGCAAAGGGAAAAGACAUCGCAUCGCUGCAAGGCCGUGUCAUUCCUCUUGAUUCGAACACGCAUCGGCAAGCCGAGGCUUCCGGAAGAAGAACCACCGGAGGUGGCAAUUGCUCGCUGGAAAAAAAAGGGGGUGGGUUAGCACCGCGGCCAAAUCCCUCGACGGCGGCACGCUCGCUGCUAGGGAGGACGCGCGACCGGAGGAGGAUGGCCACGGCCCAAUCUGGCCGCUCUCCUCUUCCUCUCGCUGAAAAGGAAAGGGGGAGCCUCGAUGCGCCUCGAUGUCUCUGUCUCUCAUGGAAACGGAGCGGGAAGAGGGAAGGUGCUGGCUCAAAGGGCGUCGCCCUGGAUCGCCACUCCGCCCUAGCUAGCCGCGCCGGCAUGGCUCGCGGGGCCAAUACUGAGCGAGCGGCAAGAGCAGCGCGUAGAUCGAGGGAAAAGAGGAGUAAAAGGUACUCGUGCGGCGCUGUGGCAACGUCGUCGCCGCCGGUCGCCGGGGCCCCAACCUGCCGCCACUCGGGCGCGGUCACGUGCGUCGAAGCAAGAGAGGCAGGGAGCGGCGUGCGUGGGAAAGAAUGGCGCUAGGGUUCUGUUCGAGCGGCUGACCGAGCUGUUUUGUUCGGGCGAGAUGAGCGGGUGGCCGUCGGAUCUCCAUGGAUGGCUACGAUGGAAACCCUAGCGAAGUAGCUGGGCCGAAGGGCCGAAAGUGGACGAGACCGGCGGCAGCGGCGCGUGCGCCGGCGUUGGGCUGAGGCCACAGCCGCGGGCGGCGCGCAGGCCAGGCCGUGGCCCGGCUUUCUCCGCUGCGGGCCGCGCGCGCUCGGCUCUGCUACAACUUAUUUUGAUAUUUCAGAGAAUAGAAAAUUUUCAGAAAAGAAAUGUUCAUGAAUUUUUAUAAAGAAAAUAAUAAAAAUUAUGAUUUUUUAUUCGGUCAAAUAAAAGUUUCUGUAAAGAGUAAAAGUUCAUGAAUUUUUUAUUCAUGUUUUUUCCUCUGCGUAAAUAAUUAGUAGUGCUCUUUUUAUAAUGAAAAUAAAAGUUUAGAGAGAAUUAUGUUUUUUUAAGAGUAUGUUAAAGUGAUUAUUAAAAUGAAUAUGAUUAUGUUAUUUUUUAUGAUCAACGUUAUUAAAUGUGCAUUUAUUUCUAAUAUUUUGCCCAACGAUUAUAUAGAUUUAAUUGCAUAGACAAUUGGUGUAAACUGCAAUAUGUCACCUGGAUCAUGGGACAUUGAAAAGACAAUAGCAAUGUGUGUCCAAGAAGAGGACAGACUCAAAGCCUCACAUGGUGGUUCACUCAACUAUGUGAAGGAUAACAAGAAAAGGAAUUACAAAGGUUCUCCUUCAAAGCCACAUGGAAAAGCUCCCUAUCAGCAUCAACGUCAGCAAGAACCUUUCUUAGUGGACAAAGACACUUGUCUCCACUGCAAGCAGAAAGGGCAUUACAAGAAAUACUGCCCUUCUUGGCUGAAGUCAGUCAUGGCAAAAAGAGGUAACAAUAUAGUUUCCUUUGUAAAUGAAUCCUUGUAUACAUAGUUUUCAAAAUCCACUUGGUGGAUUGACUCAGGAGCAACUGUUCAUGUUGCAAAUUCUUUACUAGGAUUCCAUUCGACAUGGACUACGCAAAGAAGCGAAAGACGCAUUGAAGUGGCAAACGGAGUUAAAGCAGAAGUUGAAGCUAUCGGUGACAUCUCCUUGGAGUUAGCUGAUGGAUUCAAUCUUAUACUUAGAGAUGUUUUAUUUGUUCCAUCAUGUCAUAGAAACUUAGUUAGUGUUUCUUGUUUGGACAAAGAUAAUUCUGAAUGAUAUUUUGUACAUGGCAAGUGUGUCAUAUGGUUAAAUAAUGCUUAUGUGGGUGAUGCUUUACUACACGAUGAGCUUUAUUUGUUACCACUUUGUGAAAAAGUUUAUUCUGUAUGCAUUGUGAAAGAACAUGUUUCCACGUCGAAUAAAGAACAUUGCAAAGUUAGAUACCAAAACAGUGAGUUGCCACUUCAUUGGUUAUCCAGACAGAUCAAAGGGUUUUUGUUUCUACUGCCCAGACAGAUAUACAAAGUUUGUAGAAACAAGACAUGCAGUCUUCUUAGAGGACGAAAUGAUGAGGGGGAGCUUGGUAGCUCAAAAAAUUGAUCUUGAGGAGAAGAGGGUGCAUGCACCUAAUCCGAUGACUCAGGAGCCAUUUUUCUCACUACCAGUUGCAACUCCACCCAUGACAACUAUGGGGAUAGACCUGGAACCUGUCCGUCAGGAGCCGACUGAACCCGUUGUUGAGCAUGAAAGGGAGGUGUAGCAGCAAAUUUUAGAAGAAGUGGCAGAACUAGAGGCACAGAAUGUGCCAGAAACUGAAGCUCUUAGAAGGUCUACAAGACCAAGAAAGUCAGCUAUUUCUACUGACUUUAAAGUUUAUAACACAGAAAUGGUUCAUAUGGAAAAAGAUCCCACCUCAUAUGAAGAAUCCAUGAGAAGCCCUCAUUCAUCGAAGUGGAUGAAGGCAAUGGAAGACGAGAUGAAAUCGAUGCGUUCCAAAGAUGUUUGGGACUUAGAGGAAAUUCCUAAAGGAGCCAAGACAGUAGGCUACAAAUGGUUCUACAAAACUAAGUAUGACUCCAAAGGGAAUGUAGAAAAGUAUAAAGCAAGACUUGUGGCAAAAAUAUUUACACAAAGAGAAGGGACAGAUUACAAUGAGACAUUUUCUCCAAUCUCAUGUAAGGAUUCCUUCAGAAUCAUAAUGCCAUUAGUUGCUCAUUUUGAUUUAGAGUUGCAUCAAAUGGAUGUAAAGACGGCAUUUCUCAACGGAGAUUUAAAGGAAAAUAUCUACAUGAAACAACCCAAGGGUUCUAUCAUGGAAGGCAAGAAAAAUAUGGGAUGCCGCCUGAAGAAAUCCAUUUAUGGAUUAAAGCAAGCCUCUAGACAGUGGUAUUUAAAGUUUAAUCAAACGAUUAAAGUUUUGGAUUCAAAGAAAAUAUUGAGGAUAACUGCAUUUAUGCAAAGUUUAAAAAUGGGAAAUAUAUUUUCCUAAUCUUGUAUGUGGAUGAUAUCCUGCUUGCUAGUAGUGAUGUUAGUCUACUACAAGAAACAAAGAAGUUCUUAUCCUCAAAUUGUGACAUAACAGAUCUUGGUGAAGCAUCAUAUGUUUGGGGCAUAGAAAUUCACCGAGAUAGGAACAAUGGAGUCUUAGGACUAUCGCAGAAAGCAUAUUUAGAAAAGGUUCUUAAAAAGUAUAAUAUGCAUGCGAGUAAAGCCACACCUGCUCCUAUAGUCAAGGGCGAUAGUUUUGGGAAAUUCCAAUGUCCCAAGAACCAGUACGAGAUCGAUCAAAUGAAAGCAGUACCAUAUGCUUCAGCUGUUGGCAGCUUACAGUAUGCACAAGUGUGCACUCGCCCUGACUUAUCAUUUAUCAUCGGGGUACUCGGUAGAUAUCAAGAGAAUCUAGGCAUAGAGCACUAGAAGAUGGUAAAGAAAGCAUUGCGUUAUGCGCAAGGCACGAAGGACUACAUGCUAAUAUACAUGAGAAGUGAUUCCCUAGAGAUAAAAGGGUAUUCCGACGCAGAUUUUGUGGGGGACACAGAUGAUAGAAAAUCCACGUCAGGAUACGUAUUCACUCUCGCUGGGGGAGCUAUUUCGUGGAAAAGCUCCAAACAGUCGAUAGUUGCAUCUUCCAUGAUGUAUGCAGAAUUUAUAGCAUGCUUCCAGGCCACAGGGCAGGCGAUAUGGCUAAAGAAAUUUGUACCCGACUUGAAAGUGGUAGAUUGUAUUCACAAACCACUAAAAUAUGUCUAGAUCCAUCCCAUUUUAUCCAUUUUGAUGACAAGUAUUUCUGGACGGAGGGAGUAUAAGGUUAAAAGUAAAGUUGGGAUCAAAGGGGAGAAUGUUAGGUUGAUCUCUCUCCCGUUCGAGCCCAACGGGUCAAACGGGCCCUUGCAUCGCGCCCUGAUUGGAGGCGCCCAACCAAACCAUGGUUGGUGGGCCCCUGUGACCCGCGCUAUAUAAAAGGAGGUGGGGCCGGGGCACGACUUACGAGGUUAAUCGCUGCCACAAACCCCACCAACACUCCCUACCGAUCUAGGGUUAGCGUGGUGCCCACGGGAAGCACACUAGCGCCACCAUCUUUCUGUCAUCGCCGCCGUCACCAUCUCACCACGAUGGCCUCCGGCUCGAGCUCGUCUAGAGAGGCAGAAGGUAGGGCUACCGGAGUCUUUAGGGGCGUGUUUGGUUCAAGUUUCAUACAGUAGUCGCAUUGCAUACACUUCUCAACCCAGCCUGGGUGAGCAAAAACGGCCCCAAAUGCGUCAUCUGCAAGUUGUUUGGUUGCCUGCAUCGAGGGUCGCUGCAUUAGGUAAUACCCAAGUGCACUUUGUUUGGUUGCCUGCAUUAGCCCAAGUGGCACAUGAACAUGGUGUUUGGUUGCCCGCAUGGGGUGUGAUUAAGAGCUAACACUUGCACUUAGCACACGGGAUUAAGAGCUAGCAGAGGGAGGGGGAGAAGAAAUGCAGUGUGCGCCGGACCAUGGCGACUGCGGUGGAUAGUGGCUGUGGCGCCAUGUCCGACAUGACGAGCAUGGAGUCGUCGACGAGCGACUCCAUCGGCGGCACGACGAGCGACACCGUCAACUAGCAAUUGCAAGCAGCACCGACUUGGCUGCGAGCUGAGCAAGCAAACCAGGGCCGACCUCUCUCAAUUGGUCGUUGCUCCCUCCAGCUUGCUCCCGUAGCUGCGCCCUGGGCCGUGACCGUCUUGAUUCGCGCUGGUGAUUGAGGCGGUCAAGCAGGGAGGUCGAGGGAGGGGUCGCCGGCCGCCUGCCAUCCCGGACCGGAGCACAGCGCCGGCGAGAGAGACAAAUGGGGGCGGGGACCAGGCCGUCCGCGCCAGCGGCGGCCCUGCUCGCCGUCGCCGCCUGCUGUGCGGCGCUCCUCGUUGCGGUCGCUGUAGCACCACCAGCCGCAGCAGCAGCACAAGCACAUCAGGAUCGUCAGUGCAGUAGACUGCUGCCCAAAAGGAGAUGAAGCUACAAUCAUCGAAACCAAAAACUUACAACACGAAUGUUGUGAGGAACUGGGAGAUUAGGCUGCUGGUCAAAGGAAAACUCAAAUGAUCGAUCGUGCGCGAUGAAUCUGACAAAAUUCGUCAAGAACAGCUUCAAACGGGAAGACGAAAUUAAGAACUUACAGCCGACGAAACUACGAACUGAUCGUCCGAAUGGAACCGUAGCAUCGAGGUGCAUCUUUUUCAUGUAGAGCUUACCUCAAACCGAAGCACCAUUGUGUAGAUCAGAGGGGCAUGGAAGAAAGGAGAUUAGUGAGGAGCUUACUAGAGGUUGAAGAAGACACCACAUAAACAGCUCGCAUCCCUCUCGUUUCUCCUCGUGCAGGGGCUCACUCGCUGAGCUUCCGCUCGGCCUGGCUCCAGAGAAACUGUCGAUUCCUGGGUUCCCAGUGAGCCAGGCUCAAAGGUGCUUUAAGCUUCGUGCUAUGCAGGCCCAACCGUAAAACCACGCAACCAAUCAGCCCAUUCCCUUCCCGCGCGGGCCUGAUUGGGCCUGCUGCAGGCAACCAAACACGCCCUAGCCUAUCCCGAUCCAGAGGAUCUAACAAACAUGACUAUUAUAGCAAACUGCAACCAAACACGGCUAGGAGUACAGAAUCUGUGUCGAGACGGUUUACGUAUAUCGUUUGACUCCUCCUGAUCCGCAUCGGGAUGCCUGACGGCGUAGUGGGAGUUGCAUGUGACUUGUGGGCCAUGGGCCAUAAUAAAAUAAGAAAUACAUAAAUUCGAGCUGGGCCUAUAGGACUGGGGGUGCGCAUCACGAGCGAACUUGGCGGUACUGAUAACAAGAUCACUGCUGCUCGCGAUCACAAUGUACAAUGGUUCUAUCUUAAGAGUGUCACGUAGGAUAAAUGAUGAGGUGGGGAAGAGAGAAAUCGUAAGAUAAGGCUUGUCUUUUCUUAUUUAAGAGAAGACAAGAGAUGAUCUCUUAGUAUAAUUUGUCUCACCAUGUUUUUAGGAACAACUAAUUAUUAAAGAUAAGGCUAAAAAAUGACCCAUAGUAGACAUGUUUUUUUGUCAUCUCGAAUUUACAUGCAAGACUUAAGAUAAGACUAUCUUAUCAACCAUUGUACGUGCCCUAACACUUUUAGGUGCAUCUAGUGUUUUAAUUAUAUUUAGAAAGUGACUAGCAGAUGGCUACAAAUGCUGUUACUACUUCUACAGAUGAGAGAAAAUAUGUCUCUCCAGUUGGCUGCACAUGCUAGAAUUGGAGUCGCUACAAAAGCAGGAUCAUUGCCCCUCGACGCCCUCGUAGAACAGCAUGAGGCACAAGCACAUAAAAAUACCUGGAAUAAAAUUGUGCUAGUGCAACUAGAGCACAUGAAAACAAUGGUGAAAGAUAAAACAAGAAUUGAAGUUGCAGCACAAAUCAAGAUGAUCAACUGUACAAAUAAAACUGGUUUCUUCCUCCUGGACCCUCCUGAGUCGGGACCCACUACCACUACCAAUCAUCGCACCCAUCUAAACAUGCCAAUCAUUCAUCACGGAUCAAUCCAUCCAACAAGGAAAAUAAAAUAAACAGACAAAAAAAUACCACCAAAAAUAACGAGACUAGCAAGAAGUCUUGAUCUUGCAUUCAGUUGCUUUCUUCCUUUCCAUCAUCCAUUUCUGCAAUCUUCUUCUUAACCCAGCAGUGAGCAGUCCAAUGAUGGCCUCAGCCAAUCCCAGGAAAAGACACCAGGAUUCGAUCCUAGCCCACCCCACUAGCACGAUUGCGAUAUGAUCAUGUUGGAUUCAGAGUUUUUCAUCAUGCGAGCUUGC